rnacentral:lncRNA from 1 species
ACUCUUGAGAGUGAUCAUGAUAUCGUUGAGCUAGCCCAAACUGUGGCCAAAGAGUGUGGUGGUUUGCCACUCGCACUUAUUACUAUUGGUCGAGCUAUGGCCUUCAAAAAGACAGCCGAGGAGUGGAGUCAUGCAAUUGAUGUGCUAAGAACAUCAGCUUCUGAGUUUGCAGGUUUGGGAGAAAAGGUGUAUCGUCUUUUAAAGUUUAGCUAUGAUAGUUUGCAGAAUGAGACGAUUAGAUCUUGUUUCUUAUAUUGUUGUUUAUAUCCCGAGGAUUAUGGCAUUCUUAAAUGGGACUUGAUUGAUUGUUGGAUUGGUGAGGGAUUCUUAGAGGAAUCUGACAGGUUCAGUGCAGAAAACCAAGGAUACUACAUUGUGGGCACUCUUGUUCAUGCAUGUUUAUUAGAAGAGGUGGAAGAUGAUAAAGUAAAAAUGCAUGACGUUGUUCGUGAUAUGGCUCGAUGGAUAGCUUGUGAAAUUGAGAAGGAGGAGAGAAAAUUUUUGGUUUGUGCAGGUGCUGGAGUAGGAGCGGUAUCAGAUGUUGAAGGAUGGGAAAAUGUGAGAAGAUUGUCAUUGAUGCAAAACCAAAUUGAAAUUCUGUCAGAGGUUCCCACAUGCCCUCAUCUCCUCACUUUAUUUCUUGACUUUAAUUAUAAAUUGGAGAUGAUGACCGAUGGCUUCUUCCAAUGUAUGCCUUCUCUCAAAGUUUUGAAGAUGUCAAACUGUGGGCAUGUCAAAGUUUUGAAAUUACCUUUUGGGAUGUCAAAGUUGGGUUCACUACAACUUCUUGAUAUUUCACACGCCGGCAUAAGAGAGUUACCAGAAGAGUUAAAGUUGUUGGUCAAUCUGAAAUGUUUGAAUUUGAGGUGGACACGUAUGUUAAAUAAAAUUCCACGGCUGCUAAUAUCAAAUUCUUCAUGGUUACGUGUGUUGAGAAUGUUCGCUAUUGGCUUUGAAAAUUCUGAAGAACCAUCAGAAGACAGCGUUUUAAUUGGUGGGGGUGAAGUUUUAGUACAUGAAUUGCUCGGUUUGAAAUAUUUAGAGGUGUUGGAGUUGACCUUGCGAAGCUAUGAUGCUCUCCAAUUUUUUUUGAGCUCAAAUAAGUUAAAAAGUUGUAUUCGAUCUCUUUUCCUCAAUAAGCUGGGAGGUACAAAGUCGAUUCAUGCUACGGCUUUCUCAGAUCUAAAGCAUCUCAAUGAACUAUGCAUUCGUUCGGCAGUGGAGUUGGAAGAAUUGAAGGUUGAUUAUACAGAGAUUGCGCCAAAAAGGUCGGAACCUUUUGUUUUCCGCAGCCUUCACCGUGUUACUAUGGAGCGGUGCCAUAAAUUGAAAGAUUUGACAUUCCUCGUUUUUGCUCCAAGCCUCAAGUCUCUUUCGCUAUACGGAUGCAAUGCUAUGGAAGAAAUAAUCAGCGUUGGAAAAUUUGCUGAGACUCCUGAGGUGAUGGGACAUAUAAGCCCUUUUGGAAAUCUCCAAACGCUUUAUUUAACUGAUUUGCCAGAGUUGAAGAGCAUCUACUGGAAGCCAUUGCCUUUCACUCAUCUCAAAGAAAUGACGGUACAUGGGUGUAAUCAGCUUAAAAAGCUUCCACUCGAUUCCAACAGUGCAACAGAGCGUAAAUUCGUUAUUCGUGGAUACACACUCUGGUGGAACCGUCUUCAAUGGGAGGAUGAAGCCACUCAAAUUGCUUUUCGUUCCUGUUUCCAAUCUCAUGAAAUAUAAAUUCCUGAGCGGUGGUUGCAAAAUUUGAUUUCUAGUGAGUGCUUUUUUAUUAAACUCUUUCAUAUAUUCUCGUCGUUUGCUUCGUGCAACAGACUAGGUUUUUAUUUCAGAUUCGUUUUUUGUCUCCUGCAAAUCACAAUUAAAUGUUGAAUUAUAUGGAGUCAAUGCUUUAGAAAAUUUUCAAGGCACUGCCAUUUCCUCUUUCUUUUUUCUUUUUUUUUUGGGUCGAAUUGAUGCUCUGGCUUUUUACUUUUUGUUGUCAAAUUUUGCUCUGUUUUUUCAAGUUGAUGCUUGAAUAGUGAAUUCAAUUAAUGCUCACAUAAAUUUGUUUAGUUGCCGCAAAAGGAUAUAAUUAGACUGAAGUACACACUUCUAGAAUGAACAAAGUUGGGGCUUUGAUUUUCUAUGGUCUAUUAUAUACUCCUUUUAAUAUCUUCUGUUCUAACUAUAACCAAAUCCUUUGUUUUAAUAUUUGCCAUUCAUCUUAAUAAUUAUGAAGCUUUGGUAAAAUUUUCAAACAAAGUUGAACAUGCUGUUUUGAGAUUUGGUUCAUGAUUUUCGAUGAAUAUCGUUGUUCCAUUUGAGUUGGAUGUGAAUUCAAAAUCUAUAUAUUCUUUGGUUUUCAAUUCUGAACUCAAUUUCUUUUUCUCAAGCAUGUUAUGCAGAAAUGAUUUUUACUAAAUCAUUUUGAUGAAUUGUUUAAAUUAUCAUAAGCAUGCUAAUAUGAUAAGUUGUUUUAUGAACGAUUAAUUAAUCAAUUAAUAUUAAAUUAUAUAUUAGUCAAUUAGAUAUGCGUUACAUGUCAUGUUUAAAAACUAUUUAUUUAUAUUUCAAACAAAUUUGACUGGAUGUUGUGUAGGUAAUACUACAUAAUUUCAAAACAAAAAAAGUAAUAAAAACACGUUAAAUUUUGUUUUUAUGAAGAAAAAUUUAAAAUUUUAUUAAAUAGGUGAAAAUAAUAAAUGGAUUCGUGUAUGGUUUGAGAUUCUUGACAUAAUUAUGAAAUAAGCCGGAUUCGACUUAGUUCAAUUUUGACGCGAUAAGAAGACGACACCACACAAACACACGACAAGAACCGUUACCUGAGAAGAUUGCCAGCAGGAAUUUUGAAAUUGAUUUCACUACAAUAUCUUAAUCUUUCAGAUACACCCAUCACUGAGCUGCCAUAAGAGCUAAAAGCCUUGGUAAAUCUUAAGUGUUUGAACUGUAGACAAAUUAUCUCUCUACAAUUCAAAAACAACUGAUUUGUUACUUUUUCAAUGCUACAUGUUCUGCGAAUAUUGAGUUGUGGUUAUCUUGUUGAAAGAUCAGAAAAUAGAGUUCUAUUUGGUGGUAGUGAAUUGUUGGUUGGGGAGUUGCCUAGGUUAAAACGUUUAAAUGUAUUAAGCAUCACCUUACAAGGUUUUUCUGCUGUCCGAAAACUUAUGAGCUCUCAAAAGUUUCAAAGCUGUACAAAAUGUUUGGAGCUUAUAGACUGUGAUGAUUCAAAGUCUUUUGCCUUGGCAGAGUUGAAGCAUCUCGAAAACUAGUUUUUCGAAUUGUGGAAGAGUUUAAGUUCUGCUGUGUUGAAGUUGGAAAAGCUCAAGAAUGUUUUCGUUUGAACAGCUUUCACCGAGUUAAUAUAAAGGCUUGUCAUAAAUUGAGGGACGUGAUAUGGCUUGUAUUUGCUCCAAAUCUUACGGUUAUUCAAAUAGAAAAAUGUAUGCAGAUGGAAGUAAUAAUCCGUGCAAGGAAAUUGGGUGAAGUUCCAGAGAUGAUGGCAGAUCUAAACCCGUUUGCAAAACUCCAAUAUCUUCGCCUGCGAGUUCUACCAAAAUUAAAAAGCGUCAAUUGGAAUGAGUCACCCUUUCCACAUGUCAGGGAAAUUAUUGAAUCUGAAUGCCCAAUUCGCAAGAAGCUUUCACUCGGUUUUAACAAUGCAAAGGAAUCUAAAAUUGUCAUUAGGGGACAGGAACACUGGUGGAACGAGCUGCAAAGGAAGGAUGAAGCGACCGUUAAUGCUUUUCUUCCUUGUUUCGGUUCCAUUUGACAGGCAUCAACAUGGAUUUAUAUUUUGCGGUGGACAACUUGUGGUAAGUGCUUUUCCAUUUAUUACAUGUUUAUAUCUAACUUUUGUUUUCCUUUAUGGUUAAAUUUUACUAUAUGUAUGUUGUUAUACGGUGACAUUCUCGCAUCAAUUAUUAGCUUUUUAAUUCUCUUCUCUCAUCCAUUGCCCUUCUGAUCAUGUAGGAUAUGCCGAUGUCAAAGAGUAGUAAAUUGGGAUACAAAUCUAAGAAUUAGCCAGAUGACAUGUUGUUUUGAAGCUCUCGAAGAAGGACUAAUUAUGUCAUUCAAAGCAUCCAAUUUCGCUACUUUUUUUUUUUUUCAUUUGUUGCUUUUUCUAUUUUUAGAUAACUUGAUUGUCAGUUGUCGUAAUGUAAUGUUUUAGUGUAGAAAAAUGAUAUUCGGCCAAGACAUCGAUAGGAGGGCAGAUUGUGCAUGCACAGUAGUGGAUGAUUUCGGCAUGCCGAAUCCAAUUAGCGUGGAUAACCCUUUAUAAGCAUCAGGCUUCUCUCAUACCACAGCAAUGUAGAGUAUGUUUAUUAACUGUGGACUACCCUUUAUAAGUUUAGACUUCUUCUAUACUCGAGCGAUGUGGAAUACCUGUAUAAGCAUUAAGCUUCUCCCAUACAUUUUAUGUUAAAAAUAAAAAUAAUAAAAUAAAUCCAUUUUAAAAUAGGCUCUUUUUUUCUUUUUCUAUAUAAACAAAAUGCAUUCUUCAAAUCAAUAGUGGGUGGAAGAAGUGAGUAGAGAAGAACUAGGCCCCUUCAUUCCCCAAAAACCUCACCGAAACCUCUCUUGUGAACUUCUCAGAUUCUCUCUCAAUAUUUCUUAUGAUCUCGUUUUUGAUAGAAUCACUUCUACUGCAUGCUGCAUUUUGUGUGUCGUUUUUGGGUAAUAUCUUAUCUGGAAUGCUGUUAUGAUCAAUAGAACAAGUAAUCAAUUUUUGGUUUGAUGGAAGUCGAUUUAUUUAUUUACUAUUAUUUUUUAUUUGAAAUUUUGUACAAUUGUGUUUCAUUCAUUUCUUUCCUUCUUUUUUUAUUUUAUAUUUAUUAUGUAUAAUAGUGUUUCAUUUGAUAUUGAUCAUACUCUAGAUAACUAUGUGAUUGUAGCUGGGGAUUUUAAGUUUUGUGAAUUCAAGAAACUGUCAAAAUGCUAGUGAAAUUGAGACCUUAUUCAUAAGCUUGUGGUUUUCAAUAGUAGCCCGGUUCAACUGAUGAAGUUCCUUUUUGGGAUUCUUUUUUUUCUAGGCUGCAAUUCGGAUUUGUACCUGAUAGACAAUCUUUUGUGGGUUUAGCAUAUCUUCUCCGAUUUUGUCUUUUAUUCCCCAAUUUUACAGCUACACACCAUGAGUGCUGGGUGAUUGUGCAGAAAAUUUGUGUUAGAGCAAAAGCAUUGUGAAGGAGUUUCUGUGCUAUAAGUUAUUGGCUUCAGUUUUAUUGGCAUUAAUAGGGUAGAUUAUGUGCUACAGUGAUUCACUUUGUGAUCCACACUUUAAUUUUCUCUUUUCCCCAAUUAUUCAUAUCAAAUUCAAAUCCAGAGGCAUGUGCUGAUUUUUUCUUUUUGUAUUAAUUUGUGAAGUUUAUUUGGAAAGGAAGCAUCUGGGUCUAAUGGAUUAAAUUAUGACAUUGAGGAAAAGGCACUAAAGGUUUUGCUUGACACAUUUGGUCUGUGUUUACUCUGCAAUAAUAGCUUCGCUUAUCAGAAAUCCCUAUUUGGCUGGUGAAUUUCUCUGUGACAGACAGGCAAACACCUAAACCGCUUCUAUCCAUCUUUCUGCUGGUGAGGCAAUAAGGGGUAAAAAGUCUUCAAAAUCAUCAAAUAGUAACAUCUCUGAGAAUUCGUUUUAGAAAAAUGGAAAAUCUAGACCUACCAGGACAAAAUGGCGUCCGGAAUCAGGAGGUACCGUUUCAAGUUUUCUUGGUAAAGAAUAUAUUAAACCUGCGCAACCAGCUAAUGGCACUUUUCUUGCAUCAAAGCCAUUGAAGUUGGAUCUAAAGGAGUUUUCCCAUGUCUGCACUGUGCAGAGAAGAAACUAAACCAAAACAAUCAAAGAAUGACAUUUGCAGAAGGAUACGGAAGAUUUUCUAUUUAAAUUGUUAGGAGAAGGGUUCCAGCUGAACAGGGAUGUGAUUCAGGAGGUUCUCGGUAAUGUCUUAAAUAUACUGAUGCCAAUUUAAUACAUAUUGUCCUUUUCAAUGUUCUUUUUUUUUCUUUUUUUUUUCCCUUCUUCUUCUUCUUCUUCUUUUUUCUUUUCGUGUGCAUGUGAUCACUGAUUUGGUAUUACGCUUAAGUUGCAGAUAGUUGUGGAUUUGAUAUGCAAAAGGUAAGGACUAUACCUUCCUGAUGUAGGCCUUUGCUUUUUCCCCUUCUAUGUAAUUUAGUAAAUCGCAUCUUCCUUUGUGAUUGUUAUAUCAUAUCAAAGUCAAGUCUUAAAUACUGCUGUCAUAUGUUAAGGUUCAACUUGCAUUUUGAUUAAGAUCCAUUUGCUGCUGCUUCCAAAAGUGAGAAUGAGAUACUUUGGUUAAUUUCAGUGGUUGAACCCAAUAGAGAACUUUAUUUAGAUCUUCAUGGUUCAAAGGCCUGAAGAAACUUGCCCGUAAUUGUAAAAUGACAUUCUGUGCUUUUUAUGCAAUAGGGAACAGGGAAGUAGGCUUUGGAAAAGCCUGGAUUGAUAACUAUGGAGAGACUUAUUAUUUAAGUGAUGAAAAUUCCCAUCACACGAAAAAUUUCAGAUAGUUAAAGACUCCAUUUUGCUGCAGCCAAAAAUGUUUGUUUCAAUUGAAGACAUGAACCAUUUUCAUUGAACCUGAUUAUGAUCCUUUAUUGAAACGACCCGCCCCGAAUCUCUUCGGGCGAGUUAGUCUAGUCUCAUUAAAACAGACUUGAUAAUAAUCUAAUUAGUAAGGAUUCUGUCGAAAAUUCAGCAGAGUCUCCUUUAUAAGUAUAACACUCCUAAUAUGCAAUUAUGUAAGACAAGCACUCCCAAUAUAAUUCAAUAUACAACAAACUCCAGUGAUCAACAUCCUCAACCAAAAUGUUGAGUUUUAUAUUUCCAGAGUCUCAAAAGAUAAUAUUAUAACUAAUAUUAAGAUCUCAGUUUAUUCUUAAUCCCAAAAGAAUAAUAUAACAAAAUUAUACAACCCCAAAAGAACGAGAUAACCAAGAUGUCCUAAUAAAAACAUCUAUAUCUUCUAACACUAUCACGUGGCCAAGACUCAAAAUAUAUUUACAGUCGCUAGGUUGGUCUGGUGUACUUGCAACCUCCUGGUGAAGGGGGAAAUAUAAUAAAAACGGGGUGAGUUUAAAACUCAGUGAGAUCAAUGAGUGGAUAGUAAUUUUUGAAAAUUAAUCUUUACUUUAAAAAAAUAAUCAUAUCAUUUUCAAAUACGAUUUCAUCAAAUCAUAAGCGAGAAACCAGUAAUAAAUCAUUUAACAUUUAAACCAGAUUACUAACCAUGAAAAGCAUAUAUAUUAAUUAUAUGUAAUAAUCAUGGAAAUCAUAUCACAAUAUUAUAUAGAAUACAUAAGAAUGAAAAUCAUCACUAAACAAGUACCUAGGGAAAUAAUCUUGUCAUAUCUAGACCUCAACGGAUGGGCAAUGACGUACUAUCUGGAUACCGUCACGCCUCGGAGCUAUACGGAUAGACAGGGAAAUACCAUCUCAUAUCUCAUCAUAUAUGUGCAUGCAUAAUCUAGUGCCCAAAGGACAAAAGCGCCCAAACACACGACCCAAAGCCUUGGUGUGUACUAAGACGGGCCCCAAAGGCCUGUAUCUCAUCUGUAUCAUUUAUAUCUCAAUAUUUGUCUGUAUCUCAUAUUUGUUUCUCUGUAAUCAUCAUACCGCAUGCAUAUGCCCCCAAAAGACAAAAGCGCCCAAACACACGACCCAAAGCCUAUAUGUGUGUUCAAACGGGCCCCAAAGGCCUCUCAUCUCAUCUCGUCUGUAUCACUGUAUUUGGAGGGGAAGGGUACUGUUUAAUGAUUUUAAAAACAAUCAUUAUACUCAUAUUCACAUACCUUUUUAACCAUACUUUAAAUCAUACCACAUUUGAAUCAACUUUUCUUAUCUUUAAAAUAUUAUCAUGAUUAUUCAAAGUCGAAACGCAAAAUCAUUAACCAAACAUUUUAAUAAAAUACCAAUACGAGAAUAAAAUCCAUUUCGAGGGAAUCAUUAAAUCAGAACAUUUAAAAUACUUAUUUCACAAUCAUGCUUUACUAUCAUAAUUAACUAUGAAAAUAGGUUUUGUAUAUUCCACUCACAGUGACGGUGUUCACGCUCAAUUAUCGUCCACGUUCACGGACCAGUUCUUGCUCACGGAUCCUCCUAUAUCAAGGAAAUGACAUAAUUAUUUUUCAUAAAUUAGAAUUACGACUAAAUUUAUGCAAUAAACUCGAAACGAACAUUUAUCCAUAAAUUUACAACUCCCACGUCGAUAAAAUUUCUAAAAUGCCAUCGAGUCCGUAAAUCAUUAAAAUACUCUGAAAUCGUAAAUCACUGAAUUACCCUUGGAAUCGUAAUUACACCCAGUCCUCAAUUCUAGGAAUUACUAAAAUAUCCACAAGCUCAGAAAUUACAAAAUUGCCCUUAUAGUGUGAAAUUACCGAAAUGCCCUUGCCGGUCGGGUUGACAGCUUCUCUCUCUCCCUCUCUCACAUGUGUGUCUCUGUUUUGCUCUGUUUUCCAGCUUCCUCUUUUACUUAUUCUAACUUUUUUAACCGCCUCAUUUUAUUCAUUUAUUUAAUUCACAUAUGUUACAUUUACGUUAUGCAUGUUCCUCUAAAUCAAGAAAAGUUGAGGUCAUGAUUCUAUAUUUCUAUAUUGUAACUUGAAAUAAUAAUUGGUCUACUUGUUUCUGUAUCUUGAUAAGAUGAAUUUUCCUUCUCAAGUUAAUUUGAUCAAUAAAGUAAUUCUUCAAAGAAAAUAUGCCCAUUCUACAAUCAUUAUCUUAGCUAAGAUGUUUUUUCUUCACUCUUCAGAGCAUGUUAAAACUAAUUGAUCGCUUGGCAGAGACUUUGGGUGAGAAGACAAACUUUCUUGGUAAAUCCUCGGAAAAGGUAUGCAUAAUUCCCGAGUAUUAAAUAACCAAUAGUCAUAAUUUUUGUACAUGACUCUUUUUUCUCUUUUUUGUGGAGAUCAUUAAAAUUGGUUCAUGAUCCAUUUUGUAAUAUCAUAGAGGGAUCAUCAAUUCCUUCUCUUUUCUGUGGCUAGGCAACACUUUCAGGCCAAAGUAAGAAAAUCUAUUUUUGGUAAUGUGAAAACCAACGGUAGGAUGUAAUAGUCUAUUAUGCACUGACAAUAACUUUUUGUAUGAUUGGCAGUUUAAUGAAUACAAGAGGAACUGAGUUGACAAAUUCAUCCAAGAUAGAUGCUAAAAUUAUUUAUGCAUGCCAGUUGCCUUAACUAAUUUUUCUUAACACUUGUACUGAACAGGAAAAUGAAUAAGCAAUUUUUAUAUUGUGCCAUUGUGGAGUAUUUGGAAAAUCUUAUUUAAGUAACAAGGAAAAUACAGCAAUUUGUAUAUUGUGCCAUUGUGGAGUAUUUGGAUAUUCUGAUUUAAGUAACAAGGAGAAUACUUGCCUCAUCUUUAAACAAUGAAUCUUUGAGAAAUGAGGAGUGGGGGAUUGGAAGUGUCUUCAUGUAAAUGUUCAUUUAUUUGUAUUUUGAACUAUUAGGAGAAUCUAAUAUGCCAAAUCAGUAAUACAAAUGUUCAGAUGAUUUUUCCUGUUGAUCAUGCAUUUGUGUCUGCACACAACCAUUGUAUAUCACUUUAUUCUGAUGUGCAGGUGUGUGUAGCUUAGAAGAAACGGAAUAAUAAUCAUCUAUUAUUGCUUGGUUCAUGAUUAUUAAACGAUUAUGGCUUUAAAAAGUCUACAAAUUCCUUCUGUUCAUAUACGAAUGUGCAGAUUUGUUAUUAAUAUCUGGUCCCCUGUUAUUAUGAUUUCAUAAACAGUGUACGGAUAUGUGCUCUAACUUUGGAGGACCUCCACGUGAAAGAAAAUUGCAACAAUUGAAUUCUUCCGGAGGGUAUGGUCUUUAAUUUAUUUUCUCAACUUCUCGUAAGAUUAAUAUAUUUCAUUCAGUAGGCACAGCAUGGGUUUGUUUUGGAAAGGGGGUGGAGGGAUUUCUCAUCCAUAUAUGGUUACUUGAUGAGCUUUUGACUGUAUUUCCUCAGUCGUGUAAAGGAAGAUCGAAAUACCCGAAAGACAGAAAUGAGCUACAGAAGCAAGUUUUAGCUGCUUUAUUUAGUGCUCCUGAGAAAUCUGAGGGAGACCGAAUGGAGGUCCAAAGCAUUGGGAAAGGUAGUGAGUGAACCGCCGGAGGAGUUGGCACCAGAAUGCAACGCUAAUGUGGUGCACUUGCAGCAAGAUAACCAAACCGGUAUGUGCUCUUAUAUUAACUAUACUGACUGGAUUUGUGAGUGUGUGCAUUUUUUUGUGUAUACUCUUGUAUUUAUGCAUAUUAAUGUGUGUAGGAAUUUCUGCCACUUACUGGAGAACUAGUGGAAAGCUUUAUACCGAUAUAUCUGCAAUAACUAAUUGGAAACUAUGAUAUUAAUAUUUUCUCUCACCUGAGGAACUGUGUAACAGAUAUGAUAUGAAUAUUUUAUCUCAACUGGAGAACUUUGUAACUUGUAGCUCUGGAAUGUCUAAGGAAUUUUGUCUGCUUCAGUUAGAUCAAAUAUCUUUUAGUUGCAUACAUUAUAGAAAAAGAUAAAGUUCUCUGAAUCUGAAAGACUGAAACAUUUUGUAUAUUUUGUGAAAGGGAAAUAUCUGUAGAUACUAGUUCAUGCAUUGAGGUAACAUCAAUGUUAAAGAAAAACAGCAAUAAGUUAUUAUGUGGAACUAGGUUCACUUGCUUUAAAUGCUGGUCUGGUCAACCAUAUGAACCUGUAAGUUCUGCAGAAAUAUAAAUACGGGGAGAAACUAGCUAAAUUUUCCGUUCAUUAUUCAGCUUAUUAUUCAGCUUUCCUUCUCCUGAAGUAUGUUAACAACUGCAGAUAAAGGCGAAGAGGACAGCUUGCGGGCUCUUCUUAGAGCCAUGAUGGAAUAUAGGGGCACAAUGAAGGAACAUUGUAAAGCUGUAGGUUCUUUUUCUCCUGUCAUUUAUGUUUUCUCACACAUUUUUUAUAUGCUCCAAGCAUGCAAUUUUGUAUGUGUCAACUGCUUUCUAAGUUUUAAAAGCCAUAAUACAUUUUUUAUAUGCUCCAAGCAUGCAAUUUUGUAUGUGUCAACUGCUUUCUAAGUUUUAAAAACCAUAAUGUAAGAAUACAGUUCUUUGUCAGGUUAUUGAUGCAUUUGCUCAGGGGAAUCAUGUUCGAGCAGGAAAACUUCUAGAACAGAAAAGGUUUUCCAUCUACAGCCAUCUAUUGACAACAGAUACAUUAUCAUUCAGCAAACACUGUUAGCAUUCAAGAUACUGGCAGAUUCACUUGAUUCUUAUUAGUUUGUUUAGUAACAAAGCAUAUAACCUGUAUUUCAAAGCCAAGUUGUGCUAUUGAUUAUGUUAACUUUAUUGUUCACAUAAAGUGAUAUGGAGGAAAUAAUCAAUGUAGGAAAAUUAGGUGAAGAGAUGAUGUCAAAUCUUGAACCUCUUACAAAACUCCAAGUUCUUUACAUGAAGAAGCUACAAAAUUUGAACAGGGUCCACUGGAAGGCCUUGCCAUUCCCUGAUGCAGGCAUAAUUUUUGUAUUUAAAUGCCCAGAGCUUAAGAAGCUGCCACUGGAUCUUGAAAGGGCAGGCCAAGGUAAAAUUCUUAUCAAGGGAAAGGAAGAUUGGUGGAAACAACUUCAAUGGGAGGAUCAAGUAACUCCGAAUGCAUUGCUUCCAUUUUUAAAAUCAACUGACAAGUGAUUGAAGGGGGCAUCAUCAACAUCAUCAACAUGGAUGGAGAGAUUCUGGAGCAGAUCAGCCGGGUUUAGUACGAUCUGUGGUGGUUUCUUUUUUGUGACUUUUUUCCCUUUCAUUUUUUCACUUCCUGUCAUAUUGUCAUUUCUUUGUCUCUGUUUCUAUUGCUGGUGUUUCUGCAUGCUUGCUGUCCUUGACAAAGUUAGCAAGAUUUUUUUGUUUAUUAAAUUUUGUAUGUUCGGGACAAUCACAAAGUACUACUUGUUCUAUAUGGGGGUGAUGUGAAUCAACUUUUCAAUUAUAUAUUCUGUGGUAAUUGUGAAUUCAAUUUCAUUUGUCUCCAGCAAAUUAUGAAGAAAGUGCAGAGUUACAAUAUGGAAAAGUUCACUGGCAAAUACUUGGUAAAAGCUUCGGAGUGAAACAGGGAGUGCACUUGCAACUAAGGACAAAUUGGUGGCCAGCUAAUGCAUUCAUUUUAUUUACAUUCAUCUUUUUAAUUAUUGAAGAUAAGUGAUUCGUUGCUUUUGUUGUAGAUAAAAUUCAGACGAUCUCGAUUGUGAAAUGACAAUAUUUAAAAUAUCUCUUAGAUUAUAAUAAACUUUAAUUUAUCUUAAUUUUAUUUAGAAGAUAAAAGAAAAAUGUGGUAUAUCGAUAAAAAAAUUUUAUCUUCUUAAUAAAACGAAGUAAAUUAAAAUUUACAAAAAUUAUUGUAAAGAUUAUUAUUUCAUAAGAGAGUAAUAUGAAAUUAAUCCUUUUUACUUUUUGAAUAUGAAAGGCCAAGAAAAGAGAAAGCAAGUGUCCCUGCUUUUUAUUUUAAUUGAAAUCGGAGUCAUCCCAUAUACUUUACUACUUUAGCAAGUAUAGCAGCCCUUUUUACGGUAAUGAAGUGAAAAUUAAUUUAGCAAGAUAUUUUCUUAAUUUAUACUUUCUUUUUGAAGUUUUUAUUUUCUAUGGUCAAUUAUACCGUUUACAAUUUCUUUUGAUCUCACUAGAACUAAAUUUUUGGUUUAAGGAUUCUUAUUUGGGAGUAUUAAUAUGCGAGCGAAUGCUUGGAUACUGCUCAAGGAUAUCUAAUCAAUAGCUGGAAACAAUCGAGAAGGCGGUCGCAGCUGUGCACAAACAGCUUUGGUAAAAUUUUUAAACAGAGUUGACAUGCUAUUCUGAGAUUUGGUUCAUUACUUUGUAUGAUUUUUUCUCAAGCAUGUUAUGCCGAAAUGAACAAUUAAAAAAAGAAGAAGGAAAAGUUAGGCUAAAAUUUUUACUAAAUCAUUUUUUAUUAACUAUUUAUAUUAAACAAAUGGAACAAGAAUUGUAAUGAUUCAUCAUAAGCAUGCUAAUAUGAUAAUUCUCUGACUAUCAUUUUCUAUUUACCCCUUUUGCAGCAGGUAAUCCAAAUUUUGAAUUGUCCAAUGAUCCACAAUCAAUCCAACGGUCCAAAACGUUUGGUCGUUAUGCGAAAAUUUUUCCCAAUUUUGGGCCAAUAUUCUAACAAGUUUUAUUGAAGGGCUGGAUUAUUGGCACCCCUCUAAAAUUUCUUUAAAACCCCUUUUCUAUUACAAUUACAUUUAAAGAUAAAAAUAAUUACCAAUUCAUCUAUUUUAAUAUUUUAUCCCUCUUCAAAGUUUUUUAUUUUCUUCCCAUAAAAAAUUUUCCCUCAAAUUCUCUGUAUUUUUGUUUUAUUCAUUUAUUAACAUAUUCUUUUUAUUAUAACAAAUCCAAUUUUUCAAGCAAAAUUAUAGUACAAUAUUGAUUGUUGUUUGCUUUAUUAGAAGUGACUUUUUAGCUGAGGAAAUAAAAACUGUAUAUUUGGUUUCUUCUAACUGCUCGUUGACAAUAGUCAUGGCAUCCUGCACAUUUCUAGUGACUUCCUUUAGUAUGUUCUGCUUCUACCUCAUUAGUUCCAAAUAGCUUCUGUUAUCCCAUGCGUACUUCUUAAAAAUAACUUCUGCUAUUUUUUUAAUUAAUUAUUUGAAUCUUGGAGUUUUCUUUUUUAUCUUUUCCACAAUUUUUCAUUCGGAUUUAUUCAUAAUCAUACUAAAACUCUUUACAUCAUAAUUCUAAAGAUAUUGAAUCUAAUUCACUAAUUUGUAUUAAGAAGUUUAUCGCAUAAAUUUUGUGUGGAGAUUGAUUUAAUAAGACUCUAAAAUAAUUUUAGAACCAAGAAAAUAUUAAGAAAUCGAAAGAUUAACAAAUUAGAAAUAAGGGUAAUUCUGACAUUAAAUGAAAUAUUAGGGACAAAGGAGUUUUUAGAGGAUUUUAAUGGGGUGCCAAUAGUUCAACUCUUUAUUGAAAUAAAAGGGAGAGGAUCGUUAAAUUGAAAAGUCUAUUUUAUUAUCAAGUGUUUUAAAUUAGUGCAACGUGACAAUUUAUACUGAUGAUAUCUUCUAUUUUUUUCAUAUAAAAUUAAUGUUAUUUUACUUAUAAAUAUAAACUCCUAAAUAUUUGUAGUAGAUUUGAAGUUGAGCCCAUGAAACGGUAAUGAGGAUUUAAUGAGACUGAGGGUGCGUUUCGGAUUGAGGUGUUGUAGCUUAAGCUGUGAAAAAAAAGUUGUGAUUAUGAAACAAAAGUUAAUAAUAUAUAGUAAAUAUAAAUUUUAAAUAAUAAUUUUGAUAAAAUUAUUAAAGAUAUAAUAGAUUUUGUAUUAUACAAGUGAAAAAUCAUAUCAAUAUAACUUAAAAGCUACAGCAGUUAGUGUUUACCAAACACUUUAGUGCUGUAGCUUUUAAGCUACAGUUGCCCAACCUCAAUCCCAAACGCACCCUGAGGAUCUGCAAUUUAAUCUGAGCUUAGGUGUAGAAUUAAAGUUUGAAAUGAAUUUACUGUGUUAUAAAUCAAUUUUUACAAUGUUGUAAACUGAUUUAUGAUAUUAUAAAUCCAUCUUAAAUUUUAAUCUCAUAUUCUAAGUUUGGAUCUAAUAAACACUCCCUCUGAUUAUGUUGUCUAUAAUUUUGCAUUCAAAGAAACUUCACGAAAAAUAUAAUAUCAUGUGUAGCCCUAUAAACUUUAAUAACAAUAAAAAAGAUAUAAUAAGAAAACUCAUAAUUGUUCAGAUAUUUAUAAAUUGGUGGCCGUUGGAAAUUUAACUGCAAGUGCCAAUCCGACAAAAGUCGUCGUGCACAAAAGACUUUUAGCCAUACGUUCUUCCAAGUCAAAUGAAACAGGGGAUGUACAAAGAAUAAGACAUGUCAUUCAUUGUUUGUUUGCUGCAUUCCCUCUCAUUUUCUUAAUUAUUGAAGACAGGUUGCUCAUAGCAUGUACUUUUCAAAUGUGGAACCGCAGCUAAUCUCACUAUUUUAAUUUGGAAUUAAAUUAGGGCCCAUGUAUAAAAUUUAUAACAUUAUAUUGCAGNNNNNNNNNNNNNNNNNNNNNNNNNNNNNNNNNNNNNNNNNNNNNNNNNNNNNNNNNNNNNNNNNNNNNNNNNNNNNNNNNNNNNNNNNNNNNNNNNNNNNNNNNNNNNNNNNNNNNNNNNNNNNNNNNNNNNNNNNNNNNNNNNNNNNNNNNNNNNNNNNNNNNNNNNNNNNNNNNNNNNNNNNNNNNNNNNNNNNNNNNNNNNNNNNNNNNNNNNNNNNNNNNNNNNNNNNNNNNNNNNNNNNNNNNNNNNNNNNNNNNNNNNNNNNNNNNNNNNNNNNNNNNNNNNNNNNNNNNNNNNNNNNNNNNNNNNNNNNNNNNNNNNNNNNNNNNNNNNNNNNNNNNNNNNNNNNNNNNNNNNNNNNNNNCAGAAAGAAAUGCUGUAUUUAAAAAAUGGAAAUAACUUCAUGACAACAAAAAUUAGGAAAAAUAAUAUAAACCAAAUUAGGAUAAAUAAUAUCAUUUUCUAGAGAAGCAGGCAAAAAUGGAAAAUGAUAUUUCAAUUCUUCAAGAUCCCAAAUCUCUGUUUCUAAAUUUUCAUUCACUUUGCUUCUCGCAUAGAAUCAUUUGGUAUUAAUAAAAUUUUUACUUAUUAAACAAAAGUUAAAAAAAAAAUUAUAUUCCUGCUGUUAAUCUAUGAAUGGUUUCAUUGUUUGAGUUUCUUUCAGAAGACAAGAAUACUUUGGUUAAGUGUUUGGCUAAGUACUAAAUUAGAGGUUGUUAGAGAGAAGAAAUUAAAAAAAAAAAAAAAACCUAACCCUUUAUUCAGUGUUUAAUCAGCAAAUAUUCAACCCAACAUGAAUCUUAAUCAUCUUUAAAAAAUAUUUUAUUCAAUUUUCUAAUGAUAUUUAUGCAGGUACUAGAAGUUAAAACCCUACUUACAUGAAUGCGUGGCCAUCGGUCCAAUUUUUUUUUUUUUAAAAAGAGAAAAUAAAUGUAAUCCAUUCCAGUGAUACCUCCAAUUAUCAUUGAUGACUUUUCUUACUCUAAUGCUAUGUCAAUUCCAACAAUUAUAUGUUAAUAUAACAUAAUCAAUUAUUUGGAUAAUUGAUGACUUUUCUUACUCCAAUGCUAUGUCAAUUAUAACAUUUGUAUUAGGGUUGUUUGUAGAUUGAAUUUUGCUGAUUGGAUAUCAAUCUAUAUCUCAUUCACGAUUUUACGAAUUAUAAAUUUUCAAUUCAGCCCAAUCCAUGAAUUGGUAAAACUUAAUCUAAAUCUAAUUCAUACGUCUGCUGAUCAGAUUCAGAUUUGACCCAAUCUAUAUCCAAUCCGCCAUUUGCGGACUAAAAAAUUUUAAUUCUCUCCAAUUCACAAACUAACUAAAUAAAUAAAAAUUUAAUAUAAAAAUAACUUUACUAACGAUCAAAGUUAAAAUUAAAUAAUAUUUAAAUAGAUUAAUUGUUUAAAUAAAGUUAGAAAAUACAUUCAAAUUUUCAAAAUAUAACACAGUAAAAAGAAAAAAUCUCAUUUGUUUAGACCUACGUAUGAAAAUUAAUUGUUUAGGAAGCUAUAUUUAUUUUUUGUUUUAAAUAAUAUGGUGUUAAUGUAACUAUAUUUUAAUUUAUUUAUUUAUAUGACCAAUGCUAUAUUUACAAGUUUAAUUUUUUAAUUAAAUAAUUAUUUUUUUUUGCGGAAUUGCGGAUUUUUGCAGAUUUACAAAAAUAAAUCUAUAUCCAAUCCACCGACUGUGGAUUUUCAAAUUUUCAAAUUUUCAAUCCAAUCCAAUCCACCAAUUCACAAAUUCAGAUUUUUACGGAUUAGAUUUGUACAGAUCAAACGAAUUGAGCAGACCAUAUUUGAUUUUGAACAUUGCUAAUUUGUAUGUUAAGUAUAACAUAAUCAAUUAUUUGGAUAAUCCCUUGUGUUUUAUCUCUAAUUAUAGCAUGAAUCUUCACAAUAUCUACAAUGCUACAAUGGCUACAAAGCAAAACCUGCUUGCAAAUUGUCAAAGAUACUUAUCCUUUCGCUUGACAAGUCAUUUGGAAAAAUAUUGUCCCUUGGCGGCUCCAUGACUUCUCUGCCCCUCCUUUUGGUCUUAAUGUACGGUUGCAUACUGAUAGUUUAGGCCCUUUAGGGACUACUUUCCCUGGUGUUGUUAAGUCUUAGCUUGUGCUAGGCUUGUUUUUCUUACCAAAAGAAAAUGAAUAGUUAUCCUAUAAGAAAUAAUCUUUAUAUAUAGGGUGGUUGGAUUCACUUGUUUACAUAACAGAUCAAUUAAUUCUCUAUAAGUAGAGAGUUUCUAGUAUAAGAGAAACGGUAGAUCUAUUGAGAGAUUAUGUAUUAUUAGAAUUUUGGUUGUGAAGAAAAGUACUAGAGUGAUUGUGUUAAUUUUUUACAUAGUGGAUUUUUCUAUCGUCAUCUUUAUGGCUGUGAUUUUUCUUCCAUAUAGAAGUUUCCCACGUAAAUUCUUAUGUUGUGUGAUUAGUUUUAUUCUCUAUCUAUUUUUUGUUUAUUUUGUUUAAUAUUUUAUUUGUAAGAUGCUGGAUGGGAUUAAAAUUCCUUAACAAAUAACGGAUUAAAAAUCAUGAAGAAAAAGCUCAAGAGAUGAUAUAUGGGAGCGGGUUGAUUUAGUAAAAAUGGGUGUCCCUCUUCCUAGAUCAGAAAACAGCACAUCCAAAGUGAUAUUUACAAACCCGUUCUGAGGAAGUUUGCAGCUUAAUGGAAGCUCGUAGGAGUUUUAAAGUGGCGUGCUUAUCAAAUAAAGAUGCUUGGGAAUUGUUUCGAUACAAAGUUGGGGAAGAAACUUUGAACAAUCAUCCUGAUAUCCUUGAGAAAGCGCACUAGUUGUUAAGGAGUGUGGUGGUUUGCCACUUGCACAUUUUACCAUCGGCCGAUCUAUGGCAUGCAAGAAGACACAGCCGAAGAAUGGAGAUAUGCUAUUCAAGUGUUCACUUCGUCCGCUUCCCGUUUCCAGGUCUGGAAGAAGGGAUAUAUACUCUUGUAAAAUUCAGUUAUGAUAGUUUACCCAAUGACACAAUUACACCUUGUCUGUUAUAUUGUAGUUUAUAUCCAGAAGAUUGUUGCAUUUCUAAAGAGAAUUUGGUAGAUUGUUAGAUCAGUGAAGGAUUUUUUAAUGAAAGUGAUUGGUUUGGAGAAAAAAUCAAGGAUACUUCAUUUUGGGCAUUCUUCUUCAUGUUUUUUUUUGGAAAAGGGAGGAGAUUGUGAAGUGAAAAAUGCAUGCAUGACGUUAUUCGUGAAACGGCUUUGUGGACCGCAUGCGACUAUGAGAACGAGAAGGAGAACUUUUUGGUUUACGCUGGUGUUGGUUUAACUAAGGUACCGGAUAUUAGAGAUUGGGAAAAGGUGAGGAGAUUGUCAUUGAUGAAAAAUAAAAUUGAGAAUCUAUCUGAGGCUCAUACAUGCCCUCAUCUCCUCACUUUCUUUCUUGACGAUAAUGAGUUUCGGAAGAUCCCCGGUGAUUUCUUCCAGUUUAUGCCUUCUCUCACUGUUUUAAACUUGUCACGUAUUAAACUAAAGUUAGUUCCUUUAGGGACUUCAAGGUUGGUUCCACUACAACAACUCGAUCAUUCAUAUUCAAGCAUAAAAGAAUUGCACGAAGAGUUAAAUGCCCUGAUUAAAGUUAAAUGCUUGAAUAUAGAUCAUGUAGAAGAGCUAAUUACAGUUCCACAACAACGGAUAUUUAAUUUUUAAGGUUAUAUGAGUUGAGAAUGUUCGAUACUAUUAGUUUAAAUUUUCAAGAAGCAUUAAAUAAAACAGCAUUUUAUUUGGUGGGGAGGAAGUUUAAGCAGAGGAGUUGCUCGGUUUGGAAUAUUUGGCGGUAUUGAGCUUCACUUGAGAAGUGUUCGUGCUCUCCAAUUUAUUUUGAGCUCACAUAAGCUACGAAGUUGUACUCAAGCGCUGUUCCUCCAAUCCUUCAAUGAUUCGAUAUGGCUUGAUAUUUUGGCAGAGUUAAAAGCACCACUACAGAUUUAAGUAUUUUUGGGUGUAGAAAAUUGGAGGACUUGAAGAUGGAAUAUACAGGGGGAGCGAAAAACAAGCGGCAACCUUGUGUUUUCUAAGGCCUACAUACAAUUCACAUAGAGGUUUGUUCUGAAUUGAAGGACUUAACAUUCCUUGUUUCUGCUCCAAAUCUCAAGAACUUGUAAAUACAAAAUUGCCCUGCUGUGGAAGCAAUCAUCGGUGUGGGAGAAUUUGCGGAAACUCUAGAGGUGGUGGAAAAUCUAAACCCAUUUGCAAAACUCCAGUAUCUUGGACUAGAAAAUCUGCUAAUGUGGAGAGCAUCUAUUGCAAGUCUCUGCCCUUUCAGAAAUGACUGUGGAUAGUUGCCGUUGUCUUAAAAAGCUUCCUCUCUACUCCAACAGUGUAAAAGAGUGGACAAUUGUUAUUUCAUCAUUCGGAGAAUUAAUGGUGCAAUGAGAUUUAGCAGUUAACUCUCGUGGGAAGAGCUUGAAUGGGAAGACGAAGCCGCUCCAAUUGCUUUUCAUUCCUGUUUCAAAUCUCUGAUCGGAUUGGAGAUUGCAUUUCGCCUCAGGUUCGUGCUUUUCUUGAAUUUUUCUCGUUAACUUCAUUUGUUCAUUUAUCCAUUUUUUUUAAGGAAUCAGAAGGGUUAAUAUUUUUGGUUGUGUUAGGUCGACUUCUAAUCACGAGGCAGAAGGAGUUGAGAUGAAGUUUAAUUUUGGUGGAGAAAUUGUUUGAUUUAAAAAAUUUAAAUGAGUUGACCAUCAUUCUUUAGCAUAUUUGUAUGAACAGGAGUGUGAAAAUAUGCAAACUGUCCAGCUGUAUGUGUAUAACGUAAUAAUUUUGAGGAGUUAAAACAUUGAAGAAUAUUGAUGUUUCCAUUGUCAGACCAAAUAUACUUAAUUACUUGAGGAUAACGAUUACUGCUAAUACGUUUGCAAAGAAAAAACAUGCCUAUUGAAAAACUCAUCUUAUUAGCAACAGUAUUAUAAGUAGUAUCCAAUCAUAGUUUCAUGCAAGAUUUUGAGAUUUUUCAAAUGCUGAUUCCGGGAAUGGAGAUUAAUAGAUAAUGGAGACAGGUUGACUGCUAUGGCUAAUUGUAAGAGGGAAUUUUAGUCGUAAAAACUGACCAACUAGCAAAGCAAAUUCCAAAUCUUGGAAUGAAGCAGCAAAAAAACGAAACAAACAAAUGGCAAGAGGAAGUGACUAUACAAUAAUAACAUCGACUUGCAAUUCAACAUUUAUACAGUUUUACACACCAAGAAAGGAAAAAAUUACAAUAGAAAUUUGGCCACUAAAAGGUGCUCGUUCAUGCUUAUGCCUGUCAUAUGGAUUUGAAACAAGGAGUAAAAGCAUUUAGAGUGGCUUCAUCCUUCCACUGCAGCUCAUUCCACCAGUGUUGCUCUCACCUAAUAACAAGUUUUCGUUCCUUGGCGCUGUUGUAAUCGAGUGGAAGCUUCUUGAGGUUCGGGCAGCCAGAUACAAACAAUUCCAAGAGAUUUGGAAAGGGCAAUGCAUUCAAACAGAUCUUCUUCAAAUUUCUUAGAACUUGCAACCGAAGAUAUUGGAGUUUCGCAAAAGGUUUUAGCCCUGGAACUUCUUCGACUUUCCAAACACUGAUUAUUUCUUCCAUCUCAUAACAACGUUCUACAUGGACCAUCUUCAGAUUUGGGGCAAAAACAAGCCAUGUCAUCUCCCUCAAUUUACUGCAAUAGUCUAUGGUAACACUUUGAAGGCUGUUGAAACCAUAAAGUUCUCUUGUUGUUUGAACUUCUGCAUAGUCAACCUUUAGCUCUUCCAAACUUGUACAAUGCACAAAAUCUAGUUUGUCAAGAUACUUGAGAUCUGCUAUGGACAAAAUAUUCCAUGACCUUGAAUCCUCACAGCGGCGAAGCUCUAAAGCAUAUUUACAACUCUUGUACUCUUGGCAACGUAUUUGCAAAUAUUCGGAAUGGACAUUUUAGAAAGAAAAAAAAAGUAAAAGAAAAUGACUAAAAAGUAAAAGAAAAUAGACACCCAAUUGUAAUUACGAGUACAAUAGAAGGAAUGCAACACAAUACCGAUUUUGCAAUCGCUGAAGCUUAUUCACCCUAUGAGGGCUGAUCAGGUGGGGGCCGUCGCUCUCCUUACACUCUUAUAGAGAGUUAUAGUCCAUGAUCUCAUUGGGAGAACUAGCCAAGUGGGCAAUCGCUCCACCUGAUCAAAAUUCUUCAUCUUAUAAUAAUAUCUUGAGUAGGCCUUCAAUUUUAAUCUUUAAAAGGUAGAAGAGGUGAAAAAGUUAAAUAAUAUUUUUGUCCUCCUAUAUAACAUUUUUUGAAAAUCACUCGAUCUUAAAACUUAAUUAAGAAAAUAUGAUAGAUUUUUAAGUUAGUGGCCCUUAAAAUUUAUGUGUAAGAAACAAUUAGAGAAAAGUCGUCAUGCCCAAAUGACUUACUAAAAGUCUGCAACUCGUCAUGACCAAAAUUCUUCCGAGUGUGAAAUACGGCAUGCGCAGAUGCAUUAAAAACAAAGGCCAGCUAUGAUAAUCUUUGUAUACUUGCAUUCCCUAUCAUCUUAUUAAUAAUUUCAGACGCGUCGUUCGUUGCCUGUGACUUUUCAUAUGCAAAAGCGGAGUCAGUGUUACUUGCAUUCCCUGUCACCUUAUUAAUAAUUUCAGACACAUCGUUGGUUGCCUGUGAUUUUCAUAUGCAAAAGCACAGUCAGAAUUACAAUUUACAUUUGGAAUUGAGUGCCAUCUAUUUAUUCCAGCUGGAUCUAAAAUGAUAUUGCAGUAUUGCACUGACUUUUUAGUCACAGCGUUUCUCUAUGAAUUCCUUAAAGUUUAGACCCAUCAUGGAAUAAUUAUUUUCUUAAAGACCAAAUUCACAUAAUUCUUAAAUCAUUUACAAAACAACAUUUAUCAUAUAACAGAUCGUACAUGAAUAAAUUUACCUUGAACCGUAGCAAACAAACAAGAAUCUCAACCACAUCAAUAUCAUAAUCCCUUCUGACCUUAACAAUAAUUUUAUUCGUCCUUAAUUCAUAGGUAUAAGUAUCCCAAUAUAUACUUGAUGUCAACCUUUACAAUUCUUUACAGAAUUGCAGCAGACCAAAUUUGUAUGCAAAACUGAAAUCAUACAGUAAUUGAAUACAGUGAAAAUAGACAUGAUGGGAAUUAGUAUAUAUAAAUAUCUUAAUAAUUUAAAAGUUUCUUAAACUGAUUUUACAUAUCUUGAAAAAUUAUGAUGUUUCCAUUGUCAAACCAAAUAUACUUAAUUACUUGAGGAUAAUGAUUACUGCUAAUACAUUUGCAAAGAAAAAACAUGCCUAUUGAAAAACUCAUCUUAUUAGCAACAGCAUUAUAAGUAGUAUCCAAUCAUAGUUUCAUGCAAGAUUUUGAGAUUUUUCAAAUGCUGAUUCCGGGAAUGGAGAUUAAUAGAAAAUGGAGACAGGUUGACUGCAAUGGCUAAUUGCAAGAGGGAAUUUUAGUCGUAAAAACAGACCAACUAGCAAAGCAAAUUCCAAAUCUUGGAAUGAAGUGGCAAAAAAACGAAACAAACAAAUGGCAAGAGGAAGUGACUAUACAAUAAUAACAUCGACUUGCAAUUCAACAUUUAUACAGUUUUACACACCAAGAAAAGAGAAAAUUACAAUAGCAAUUUGGCUACUAGAAGAUGUUCAUUCAUGCUUAUGCCUGUCAUAUGGAUUUGAAACAAGGAGUAAAAGCAUUUAGAGUGGCUUCAUCCUUCCACUGCAGCUCAUUCCACCAGUGUUGCUCUCCCCUAAUAACAAGUUUUCGUUCCUUGGCGCUGUUGUAAUCGAGUGGAAGCUUCUUGAGGUUCGGGCAUCCAGAUACAAACAAUUCCAAGAGAUUUGGAAAGGGCAAUGCAUUCAAACAGAUCUUCUUCAAAUUUCUUAGAACUUGCAACCGAAGAUAUUGGAGUUUCGCAAAAGGUUUUAGCCCUGGAACUUCUUCGACUUUCCAAACACUGAUUAUUUCUUCCAUCUCAUAACAACGUUCUACAUGGACCAUCUUCAGAUUUGGGGCAAAAACAAGCCAUGUCAUCUCCCUCAAUUUACUGCAACAGUCUAUGGUAACACUUUGAAGGCUGUUGAAACCCUACGGUUCUCUUGUUGUUUGAACUUCUGCAUAGUCAACCUUUAGCUCUUCCAAACUUGUACAAUGCACAAAAUCUAGUUUGUCAAGAUACUUGAGAUCUGCUAUGGACAAAAUAUUCCAUGACCUUGAAUCCUCACAGCGGCGAAGCUCUAAAGCAUAUUUACAACUCUUAUACUGUUGGCGGCUCAAAAGUCUUCGUAGAGCAUAAAAACUUCUUAACGUGACGCUUAAUACAUUUAAAUGUUCCAAAGUAAUCAACUCCUCUACCAAAAUUUCACUACCACCAAAUAGAACGCUAUCUUCUGGAACUGUAUCGGCAGAGCCACAAUCUAGCAUCCUCAACACCUUUAACCCAGAAAAAUUACAAAGCAGUUGCCGUGGAAUCGUAUGGAGAUAACGCAUGUACUCCAAGUUCAAACACUUUAGAUUUUUCAAGGCCUUUAGUUCAUGUGGCAACUCUUUGAUGAAAGUUUCUGAAAGAUUAAGAUAUUGUAGUGAAACCAAUUUUGAAAUUCCUGAAGGCAAUUGACUCAAGGAGCGAUUCUUUGAUAGGUUUAAAACUUUAAGAGAAGGCAUAAAAUCGAAGAAAUCACUAGGGAUAGUAUCUAACAUAUUAAUUCCGAGGAACAAAGUUAUAAGAUGAGGGCAUAUUGGAGUUAUUGGUAAAAUCACAAUUUUAUUUCUCAUCAACGGUAUCCUUCUCUUAUCUUCCCAUUUUUUAACCUCGGGUGGUUCAGUUAAUUCAAUACCGGCAGAAACCAAAAAGUUUUCAUUCUCCACUUCACAGGCUAUCCACCAGGUCAUAUCACGAAUCACAUCAUGCAGUUUUACAUAAUCUGAUCCUGCUUCUUCCAAUAGGCAUGCAUGAACAAGAACACCAAUAAUGCAGUAUCCUUGGUUAUGUACUCCAUUAAUUCCGUCAUUUUCCUUCAGAAAACUCUCACCAAUCCAACACUCUAUCAACUCAAUUUUGCUAAUUUGAUAAUCCUCAGGAAACAAACUACAGUAUAACAAACAAGAUCUAAGGACAUCGCUAGACAAACUAUCAUAACUGAAUUUUAAAAGACGAAACACCUCUUUCUCCAUACCUGGAAAUUCAUAAGCUGAUCUCCUUAACAUCUGAAUUGCAUAGCUCCAUUCUUCGGGUGUCUUCUUGCUGCUCAUGGCACGACCGGUGGUAAUAAGUGCAAGUGGCAAACCACUACACUCCUUUGCCACAGUUUGGGCUAACUCCGGAAUAUCGGGAUGACUUUCAAGAGUCUCUUCUCCGACCUUCUUUAGGAACAAUUCCCAAGCAUCUUGAUCUGCGAAACACUCCACCUUGAACGUUUUUUGAGCUUCCAUGAGGCUACAGACGUCCACAAGACGAGUCGUAAAGACUAUCUUUGAUGCAUUUCUUGAACUCGCAGGAAAAGGGACACCCACUUUGGCUAAAUCAAUUCUUUCCCAUAUAUCAUCUAACAAUAGCAGAAAUUUCAUUUUGCUCAAUAAAUUGAAUAUACCUGAUGCUUUCUCUUCAAAGCUUCAAUUCUGAAGCCAUCCUAUUCUUUCUCCGAUUUUUUGUUGAAUUCUCUCAAGUUGCAUGUCUUUUGACACCACCACCCAAAUCACAAUAUCAAAAUAAUAGUGUAGUCUUGCCGACUCCCCCCAUGCCAUAAAGUCCGAUGAUUCCAAAUUGUCCUUCUACAAGACAUCUCCAAACUUUAUCAAAUGAUGAUUCUAGGCCGAUUAUUGUUGGCUGAAGAGGCCUUUCAUCCACUGCUGGUUGUGGUACCUUUUCAGCUACCACUGCAAAAGCUCCAUCAUCUAUUAAAGUAGCCACAAGCUGCAGCUUUUUAGACACCUUUUUCCCAAACUUGUAGCUUGACUUGCAGUUCUUGGAGCAGUAGCCUCCAAGGCAUAGUUUUUCAAUUUCUUGAGAGGUGUCCCUUGUCAAUUCACCUACUUCAGCUUCCACAGCCUCCACCCUUGAAAGCCAACCUUGCACUCUGUUCAGCCGUCUUAGUUGUUGUUGCUCAGCAUUAGCGACCCUCAUCAUCACAUCGUUCUUUGUUUCAAUUAGUUUCUGCAAUUCCGUCUGGACGGCAACCAGGUUAUUUUCAAGCUGGCUUAGAUAUGCUGCUUUUCUGCGGGUACAAUUUAUGAAGCCAGUCAGGGCAUCACAUGUAAGUUGGAUUCCCAAAAUAUUACCCAUAGUUUGUAUGAGAUUCAGAGUACAAUAGAAGGAAUGCAACACAGUAUGUAUUCGGUUGUGGUGUCUAUGAUUUUACAGUCGCAGAAGCUUAUUCACCUUGUGAGGGCCGGUCAGGUGGGCACCAUCACUCUCCUUACGCUUUAUAGAGAGCGAUAGUCCAUGUGGUCAGAUCUCAUUCAGAUAACUAGCCAAGUGGGCAAUCGCUCCACCUUAUCAAAAUUCUUCAUCUAUAGUAAUAUCAUGAGUAGGCCUUGAAUUUUUCUUUUAAUUUUAACAUUUAAAAGGUAGAGGUGAAAAAGUCUAAAUAGUAUUUUUGUCCUCGUACUUUAAUAACAUUUCUUGAAAGUCACUCGAUCUCAAAAUUUAAUUAAGAAGAUAUUAUAGAUUUAUAAGCAAGCCCUUAAAAUUUAUUUGCAAGUAAGCCCAUAAGACUUACUAAAAGUCGUCAACUCGUCAUGACCAAAAUUGAAAAUUCUUCCGCGUGUGAAAUACGGCAUGCACAGACGUAUUAAAAACAAAGGCCAGCUAUGAUAUUCUUCGUAUAUUUGCAUUCCCUAUUAUCUUAUUAAUAAUUUCAGACACGUAGUUCGUUGCUUGUGAUUUUUCAUAUGCAAAAGCACAGUCAGUGUUACAAUUUACAAUUACAAUUGAGUGCCACCUAUAUACUCCUUCAUUCUUUUCAAAAUAUGUUGUAGGAUGGGUAAUCGUGACAAAAGUGAUUUUUAAAAAGAUUUGUUAUAAUAUUAAAAUUAACUUUUAAUUUUUUUUAAAUUACUUUUGAGCUUUGUGAAAAAAAUCCUAAACGGGUCUCAGAAGUAUAAUUAGAACCACGAAUUUAUAAAAUGAUCAAAGGAAUCCAUCGCCUAAUAUUAGAGUACGCAAUUGAUUGCUAUCAACUAAAUUGCUAUGAUCUCACUUCAUAAUAAUUUAUUUUCAAUCUCCAUCAUGGUAGAAAAUUUUCAUCAAUCAACAUACCCUACCACCACCCAAUAGUCGACCAUUUAUCAUCUUCUAUCCGCAAAAAAACGAAAAAAAGAAAGGAAAAAUUUAGUCCACAAAAGAAAAUAUCGCAAGACCAAACAAAGAGAGAAAAUAGAAAAAGCAAAGAGCUGUACUGAAUACCGCCAGUGAUGGCUCGGUACUUGACCAUUUAGGUUUGAUUCUGCAUUAACAUAAUAUUUUUUCUGCACUGCAUUCACAUCACAACCAUUGAAUAGUCGUGAUCUAUUUUUCUAAAGCGAAUACUACUAUCUUCUCGUGUCGGUGGCUUGAUCAUAUAACAAAAUAGACUAAUAAUGUUUCCUGCUGUACCGUACAUCCGCCUUGGCCGUACAGCAGAAAUACAUGAAAUAAAUUAACGAAAAAUAAAUUAAUAAGAUAAAAAAAAUUUCAUCACAUGUAAGUUGGAUUCCCAAAAUAUUACCCAUAGUUUGUAUGAGAUUCAGAGUACAAUAGAAGGAAUGCAACACAGUAUGUAUUCGGUUGUGGUGUCUAUGAUUUUACAGUCGCAGAAGCUUAUUCACCUUGUGAGAGCUGAUCAGGUGGGCACCAUCACUCUCCUUACGCUUUAUAGAGAGCGAUAGUCCAUGUGGUCAGAUCUCAUUCAGAUAACUAGCCAAGUGGGCAAUCGCUCCACCUUAUCAAAAUUCUUCAUCUAUAGUAAUAUCAUGAGUAGGCCUUGAAUUUUUCUUUUAAUUUUAACAUUUAAAAGGUAGAGGUGAAAAAGUCUAAAUAGUAUUUUUGUCCUCGUACUUUAAUAACAUUUCUUGAAAGUCACUCGAUCUCAAAAUUUAAUUAAGAAGAUAUUAUAGAUUUAUAAGCAAGCCCUUAAAAUUUAUUUGCAAGUAAGCCCAUAAGACUUACUAAAAGUCGUCAACUCGUCAUGACCAAAAUUGAAAAUUCUUCCGCGUGUGAAAUACGGCAUGCACAGACGUAUUAAAAACAAAGGCCAGCUAUGAUAUUCUUCGUAUAUUUGCAUUCCCUAUUAUCUUAUUAAUAAUUUCAGACACGUAGUUCGUUGCUUGUGAUUUUUCAUAUGCAAAAGCACAGUCAGUGUUACAAUUUACAAUUACAAUUGAGUGCCACCUAUAUACUCCUUCAUUCUUUUCAAAAUAUGUUGUAGGAUGGGUAAUCGUGACAAAAGUGAUUUUUAAAAAGAUUUGUUAUAAUAUUAAAAUUAACUUUUAAUUUUUUUUAAAUUACUUUUGAGCUUUGUGAAAAAAAUCCUAAACGGGUCUCAGAAGUAUAAUUAGAACCACGAAUUUAUAAAAUGAUCAAAGGAAUCCAUCGCCUAAUAUUAGAGUACGCAAUUGAUUGCUAUCAACUAAAUUGCUAUGAUCUCACUUCAUAAUAAUUUAUUUUCAAUCUCCAUCAUGGUAGAAAAUUUUCAUCAAUCAACAUACCCUACCACCACCCAAUAGUCGACCAUUUAUCAUCUUCUAUCCGCAAAAAAACGAAAAAAAGAAAGGAAAAAUUUAGUCCACAAAAGAAAAUAUCGCAAGACCAAACAAAGAGAGAAAAUAGAAAAAGCAAAGAGCUGUACUGAAUACCGCCAGUGAUGGCUCGGUACUUGACCAUUUAGGUUUGAUUCUGCAUUAACAUAAUAUUUUUUCUGCACUGCAUUCACAUCACAACCAUUGAAUAGUCGUGAUCUAUUUUUCUAAAGCGAAUACUACUAUCUUCUCGUGUCGGUGGCUUGAUCAUAUAACAAAAUAGACUAAUAAUGUUUCAAUAGACAUUUUGGUAAAUGGAAGAAGUUAUGAUCUGUCCAUUUUUAUGUUACUUUAUUUUAAUUUGUUAAUUACUAUUAAUAUCUUUGAGUGGGACAGAAUCUUGACCUAAGAUAUGACUAGGCUCCACAUGUUAAAUAUUAAUUUGAUUAAGCCUAGCUAAUUGUUAAUUAUUAAUUUGAUUGCGGCUUUUUAUUUUACCCACAUUUUUUACGCGUGAAAUCUUUCUUAGUGAAAAACUACACGUAUUUGCAAAUAUUCGGAAUGGACAUUUUAGAAAGAAAAAAAAAGUAAAAGAAAAUGACUAAAAAGUAAAAGAAAAUAGACACCCAAUUGUAAUUACGAGUACAAUAGAAGGAAUGCAACACAAUACUGAUUUUGCAGUCGCUGAAGCUUAUUCACCCUAUGAGGGCUGAUCAGGUGGGGGCCGUCGCUCUCCUUACACUCUUAUAGAGAGUUAUAGUCCAUGAUCUCAUUGAGAGAACUAGCCAAGUGGGCAAUCGCUCCACCUGAUCAAAAUUCUUCAUCCACUACACUCCUUUGCCACAGUUUGGGCUAACUCCGGAAUAUCGGGAUGACUUUCAAGAGUCUCUUCUCCGACCUUCUUUAGGAACAAUUCCCAAGCAUCUUGAUCUGCCAAACACUCCACCUUGAACUUUUUUCAAUUUUAAUCUUUAAAAGGUAGAAGAGGUGAAAAAGUUAAAUAAUAUUUUUGUCCUCCUAUAUAACAUUUUUUGAAAAUCACUCGAUCUUAAAACUUAAUUAAGAAAAUAUGAUAGAUUUUUAAGUUAGUGGCCCUUAAAAUUUAUGUGUAAGAAUAAAACAACAUUUAUCAUAUAACAAAUCGUACAUGAAUAAAUUUACCUUGAACCGUAGCAAACAAACAAGAAUCUCAACCACAUCAAUAUCAUAAUCCCUUCUGACCUUAACAAUAAUUUUAUUCGUCCUUAAUUCAUAGGUAUAAGUAUCCCAAUAUAUACUUGAUGUCAACCUUUACAAUUCUUUACAGAAUUGCAGCAGACCAAAUUUGUAUGCAAAACUGAAAUCAUACAGUAAUUGAAUACAGUGAAAAUAGACAUGAUGGGAAUUAGUAUAUAUAAAUAUCUUAAUAAUUUAAAAGUUUCUUAAACUGAUUUUACAUAUCUUGAAAAAUUAUAGAAAUCGGAACAGCUGCAGAAAUCAUAAUUUUCCAGCGAAUGUGUUACAACUUCAGAAACUCAUAAGAAAUUAAAUUCUUGGGAUCACAAAAUAAUUCAAUAGAAAGCUUAAGAUGUCUAGUUCAUAAGAUCUGAAUUUUUUUUUUUAAUAAGAUCUUUGGAAUUUAAGAGAUUCAGCAGUACUUUUAUUAUAUCAAUUCUUCAAACAAUCACCAAUCUAACAAUUCAUCAAAAUUAAGUCAUAAAAAUCAUGUGGUUUGUAAAAAGAAUUAUCUUAAUUUUUGUAUUUAAAUGCCCAGAGCUUAAGAAGCUGCUACUGGAUCUUGAAGGGGCAGACCAAGGUAAAAUUCUUAUCAAGGGAAAGGAAGAUUGGUGGAAACAACUUAAUGGGAGGAUCAAGUAACUCAGAAUACAUUGCUUCCAUUUUUUAAAUCGACUGACAAGUGAUUGAACGGGGCAUCAUCAACAUCAUCAACAGGGAUGUAGAGAUGCCGGAGCAGAUCAGCAGGGUUUGAAUAUGACCUUUGGCGGUUGCUUUUGAGGGCUAAUAAGACCAAACUCAGGCAUAUUGUCAAAUGUGCCUAUACUUUCGCUUGACAAGUCAUUUUAAAAUUGUCUUUCAAUGCCAAAAAACCACAUAAACUAAUGGUCCACUACUGUAAUUUGAAAGCAUGCAUGCGAUCGCCAAUAAUCAAGGAUGUUAGGGUCAUGCUACAGAGUAUAGAAUAUGAUUUUAUGGUAUAGCCUUUUUUCUUUAUAAUUUUUAAGUUUAAUGCUGUUACGUAUGUAGCACAUAAGUUGGAAAACAUAACAUAAAAUUUGAAAAAUGUGUUUUUUUUCAUUUUUUCCUUCCUGUCAUUUUAUCAUUUCUUUCUCUGUUUCUAUUGCGGGUGUUACUGCAUGCUUAUUGUUGCUUGACAAAGUUUGCUAGCUUUUUGUUUGCAGUGCUGCUAUAAACUCCGAGUCAAGCCCCGAAAAUUUAUUAAACGACGCCGUUUCGACAGUAACAAUUCUAUUCUUUUAAAGUUUAAAGUUUAUUAUUUUUAACUACAUGUUUAUAAUUUAUUUUUAUUAUGUGUUAAUCUAUAGAUCUAAAUUCACUUCGGAACCAUAUACAUAUUUAGACCUAAUGUGCAUGUUAAUCUAUAGAUCUAAAUUAACUUUAGAUCUAAAUUCUAAAUAGUAUUUUUGUCCUCGUACUUUAAUAACAUUUCUUGAAAGUCACUCGAUCUCAAAAUUUAAUUAAGAAGAUAUUAUAGAUUUAUAAGCAAGCCCUUAAAAUUUAUUUGCAAGUAAGCCCAUAAGACUUACUAAAAGUCGUCAACUCGUCAUGACCAAAAUUGAAAAUUCUUCCGCGUGUGAAAUACGGCAUGCACAGACGUAUUAAAAGCAAAGGCCAGCUAUGAUAUUCUUCAUAUUAUAAUAAAUAUUAAUUAAUAAUAAUUAGAAUAACAAACUAAGGAUAUUUUAAUAACUUAAAAUAAUUCAUUUUGAUUUCGAAACAAAAUAAACACAUCAAUCGCAAUACAACUCAUUCUGAUUCCACUCAUUCCCCUAUCAUCUUAUUAAUAAUUUCAGACACGUAGUUCGUUGCUUGUGAUUUUUCAUAUGCAAAAGCACAGUCAGUGUUACAAUUUACAAUUACAAUUGGGUGCCAUCUAUAUACUCCUUCCUUAUUUUUAAAAUAUGUUGUAGGAUGGGUAAUUGUGACAAAAAUGAUUUUUAAAAAGAUGUAUUAUAAUAUUAAAAUUAACUUUUAAUUUUUUUAAAUUACUUUUGAGCUUUCUGACACAUUUCUUUUCCUAAUGUCUUCGGCUUUCGAUUUUCUUUUAUUUUCUCUUUAUUCUUAAAAUAGACUUAUAAUAAUAAAAUAUAAAAAUAUAAAAAAAAUUAACAUAAUUAAGGUAACUUCUACAAGUAGUCUUAAGUUGACUGGCAACAACUACAUUGGCAUGUUCAAAUGUUCUCACUAUUGUAUUGGUGUGUUUCAUCAAUCAACAUACCCUACCACCACCCAAUAGUCGACCAUUUAUCAUCUUCUAUCCGUAAAAAAACGAAAAAAAAAAGAAAAGGAAAAAUUUAGUCCACAAAAGAAUAAAAUAAUCUAAAUUUACAAUUUAACAUAAAAUAAAAUAAUUAGUAGAAAACAAUUAUGGUUCAUUUACUUAUCAGUAAUUAAAAUAAACUGAAAUCGGAAUGAGUUGUAUUGCCGUUAAUGUGUUUAUGUUGUAUCGGAAUGAAUUAUUUUAAGUUACUAAAAUACCCUUGGUUUGUUAUUCUAAUUAUUAUUAUUAUUUAAUAUUUAUUAUAAUAAUUGUCAUAUUAUUAAAAAGAAAUAAUAAUGAUGAUAAUAUUAUCAUUAUUGUUUGUUAUAUUAUUAUUAUUAAAAAAAUUAUUGUUAAUAACAAUAAUAACUUUAUUUCAAUAAUAAAAAUGAUAAAAUUAAUAAUAACAAUCAUGACAACAACAACAAUUAUUUAUUAUGCCAAAAAAUAACAAUAAUAAUAAGAAUAAUAAUCAUCAUCAUUUUUUCCCAAAGAAGCAUUAUCAUCAUCAUUUCAAAAAAAAAAAAUCAUCAUCCACAUCAUUUUUGUAGUGGCUGCCUAUCGGCUGCUGCUUUCAUGCGAGAUUGACUUGCGACGCUUCAACUGCUAUUAUUUCUGGCAAUGUCAGGUGUUGUUGUUUCAAUGGGGGGAGAAGUUGUGGCUGCGAUUCGGGGAGCUACUGGUUCAGUGCACUAAUGACGGUAGGUGUUGCUGCUCAAUGCGAGGUCCAUGGCCAGUUGUCUUGUUUUACACCCAGCUCUUGUAAGAAAUUCUUCAUCCAAAAUAUUUUUUUGUAACCUUCAAUAAUUGUAAUAUCAUUUGCUUCCAUGGUAGAAAAGACAACUCAUUACUAAAGUCUAGAUUAUGAUGAGACUGCUCUCCCUGCAAAAGUGAGCAAAUAUCCUAGUAGGGAUUUUUCAUAAUCAAUAUCUCCUGUCAUAUCUGCACACUUGCUAACACAGGUUUGUCACCACCAAAAUAUAAACAUAUUCUGGAAAUGCCUCUAAGAUAUCUGAGAAUUCAUUUCACUGUUGUCCAGUGCUCUUUGCCAAGAUUGAAGAGAAACCGACUGACUACACUAAUUGCAUAGGCAAUAGCUGGUCUUGUACAAAUCAUGGCGUACACCAAACUGCCAAUUGCUGAAGCACAAGGAACUCCUCUCACUAAGAAAUGGGUUUUGCUCUUGAGAUUUUUGGGAACAUGAAGAAUAAAGAUGUAAUUUCUUGGACUACCAUUGUUUCGGGGUAUAUAAAUAGAGGACAAGUCGGUAUAGCUCGACAGUAUUUUGCUCAGAUGCCAGAACGAGAUUAUGUCUUAUGGACUGCCAUGAUUGAUGGGUACCUUCGAGUGAAUAGGUUCAGAGAGGCUUUGACACUUUUCCGGGAGAUGCAAACUUCAAAUAUAAGGCGAGACGAGUUUACCAUUGUUAGGAUUCUUACAGCUUGUGCGAAUCUGGGGGCACUAGAACUGGGAGAAUGGAUAAAGACUUACAUUGACAAAAACAAGGUCAAGAAUGAUAUAUUUGUGGGGAAUGCUUUGAUAGACAUGUACUGUAAAUGCGGAGAUGUUGAGAAAGCUCAAAGGGUAUUGAGGAAGAUGCUUCGAAAGGACAAAUUCACAUGGACGGCCAUGAUUGUUGGCCUUGCCAUCAGUGGCCAUGGUGAUAAAGCUCUUGAUAUGUUUUCCCAAAUGCUUAGGGCUUCGAUUAGACCAGAUGAGGUAACUUAUGUUGGCGUUCUGUCUGCCUAUACUCACAAUGGUAACGAAAUUUUUUUGAUAAAUAGUUGCAACUUAAGGUGAGAAUUGGAGGAAACGAAAUAGACUGAAGUUGUUCAAUGAUCGGUCGUCUCUAUUUGUUUUUCUCCAAUAUCUCAUCUCCAGUUUUGACUCAGAUUCUGUCUUACCACUAGUAAUUACAUAGACUUGCUGCCAAAGGUAAGAAUGAGAAUAAAUUAAAUAGAUUAUGUCGAUAACGAAAUAGAUUUACUAUUGCUAUGUGCAUUAUAUUUGGUUCCUGCAAAAUAUUUUCUCCUGCCUAAAAUUUUUUGAAUCAGUAAGUUUUUACCUUACGCAAGAAUUGUGCUAAGAGUAAUUCCAGUCUCUCUAUAUUUCAAUGAAGACGUAAAACUUGUGUUUUAGAGCACCAAUGUUAUGCUUCUUACAAUUGGAUUUUAAUUUACUUCGGGUGUAUCCCGGUAAUGCACAUGUUAUACAUUUGAAACAUUCCGUUAAUUGCCAAUUAUGUAAGCGAGAUAGUAAUUUAAAUUUUUUUUUUAAAAAAAGUGAAAAUUAAUCCUAUGCAAUGUGAAUAAAUUUCUUUCCUUUUUCCUUCUCUCUUUUUAUUUGAUAAUUAAGUUUCAACCUAUGUACCCAAAAUUUCUGCAACAGGUAAAAAACAUAAAAAUAUAUGAUUGUUAAUGUAAACACGCGGAAGUUCAUCAUUUCAAUGUUCAGUAUUUCCAAUUUUGGCAUACGAAUAUAUUCCAAAUAUUAGAAUUGUAUUUUAAUUCAUUCAUCAUAUCUCAUUUCAAUCCCAAAAUAUUCAAGAGGAUCCAAGUUACCAUAAGACUUCAGAGGCUCGAGCCUUAGCCAGAGACGGUUAAUUGAUAGACUAUGUGCCCGGGUCGAGCACUGGAAGCCUGCAAUGCAGACUGAUUGAUUUAUCAGUUUGAUGUGUGCCAGGAAUGAAGAACUGGAAUAUCACCGUCAAGCAAGCACCCAGUGAAGCAAUACCAUAGAAUGCACAAUCCGGCCUUUGUAGGUGACACUGGAGGCUUUUUGAAAAGUGCUUCAUGCUCACUUGCACAGAUUGAGCAUCCCCUCUGGAUAUUGCGCUCUCUGAUCGAGUCUGAGCACUCAAAUUUCGGUCCUCAGAUGGAGCUACAGCUUUCUCUCCAAUAACCAACAAUUUUCUAAACUCAGCACCUAGUGUGAUCAGAGUUGUUGAUAUUUGUAAAUGGAGAUCCCCAUAUUUGCAAAUGGAGACAUUUAACAAAUCACCAACAUGCUUCAUCCGGUGUACAAAAUUCUGCAGCUGAUUCAAAUCCGGAACCUGAACCAGAGUGGGAGGUAAAUCUUGAGCCAUAUCUAAAGCAGUUUGAAGUUCAAGUACUCGAACCCUUGACAGUGGUUUUGAAAUUGGGACAUCUUGAAUUACUGCAGACUUGUACCCUUUGGUUUCAAAGGUAAGGAAAGGCAUUGCUUGAGUACAAUUUGGAGGCAGCUUCUUCACCAAUUUUAUUUGGAGGCGAUUGGCAGCAGAUCCAGCUGCACCAUUUUCAGAGCAAAUACUGACACUACUUCAAACAGCACGCUGAAGAAGCGCUAUGUCUACGGCAAAGGCAAUGCAGUCCUCAUUUUGGCUUGAGAUGCGGUAAUCAUCGAGGAGAGUUUCCUUAUGAAACUGGGCAACACAUUGAAUCCCUUCACCACUGAGAAGGUUGUGGAGGAAGUACGCUUUCUCUCUAGUGAGGAAGAGGUGGCAUACCUUCCCCAUUUUGUCUAGGGCAGUUAGGAAUCUUUUUUCUAAGAGAUUUACUCCAUUCUCUGUGAGAAAUGCUUUGAACUUCAUCCCUCUGUCUCUAUCCUCACUUAUCAGUAAAACAGUUGAAAGUGAUACAAGGAGAGAAAAGGAGAGUACUAAGAUAUAUAGACAAGAAAAACAUUAGGUGUCGAUCUUACAUGUUAAUACUUCAAACAGUAUCUUAGAAAGCUAAAAACUGCAGAAUGGCUUGAAAUUUGAAAAGAACACAUGCUUUUCCUCCUUAACUUGAGAAAAUGUUUAACAUAGCGCGCCUUACUGAAGCAAGCAAUUAAAACUUUGCACAAAAACAUUCAAGAAGACCAAUAUUUCAACUAAUUUACUGAUGAAAAUCUCAACAUUCAAGAAGACCAAUAUUUCAACUAUUUUACUGAUGAAAAUCUCAAAGCACAAAUGGCAUUGCAUUUUUUCCUCAACUGUAAUAUUUAUUGAUGAAAAUCAGUACAGGUCCCUCAUUUGUUAUGGAAAGUUUUCUUGUAGUCUGACCGGUUAAUUCACGGGUCUAUAAUCAUCUUGCAAAGUUACGGAUAUUUCUUUCGAUUUAAAGUCUUUGCAUCACCACCUCAUCACACACCAAGCCAAUAUUCUGUCUACCUCUACAACAAAAAGUUUUAAGUAAACGAUCCUAAUGCACGCAGCCAAAUAAAAUGCAGUAAGAAUAUUCAACUUAAAAAUCUGGAAGUCAUCUGGGUGAAUUGCCUUCUUAGGGUGAAAGAAAACAGAGAUAUGCUGUUUGGUUGAAUAGAAAAUCACAGACAAAAUUCUCAAUACUUGUAUUUGAUAAGAUUCAGUUUCUAAGUUCUUUUACAAAUCAGUACAAGUAUUUAUAUUAUUCCUUACACGUGAGAAUUACUAGUAACUCACUAACUAACUAACUUUUAUGAGCUGGAUCACUAACACUUAACUAAUCACGUUGAGCUGCUAUUCUUCACUAACAACCUUCUGCUGACAUGGCUUCACCAAGCUGCUUGAAUAGUGAGCUGCUUUGACAGCCCUCCUCAAACUCAAAGGACAGGACAUGACAUUGAGUUUGGCCUUAAGAUAGUUAAAAUGAAUGAAUGAAAGUGGCUUGGUCAUAAUGUCAGCUACCUGCUCCUCACUUGGUAUAUAUUGAAUGUUUAGUUCUCCAGCAAGAACUUUGUUUCUAACAUAAUGAAUAUCAAUCUCAAUAUGCUUUGUUCUUGAGUGGAAAACUGGAUUGUGAGCUAACUCUGUUGCACUAAGAUUGUCAUACCAAAUAAUAGGUUUUUCUAUGCAUUGUAGUUUCAACUCAGAAAACAAUGACUGCAGCCAGCUUAUCUCUGCACUUGCUGAGGCUAGGGACCUAUACUCACUCUCUGCGCUGGACCUAGCAAUAACAGGCUGCUUCUUAGACGACCAAGAUAUCAGAUUAUGACCAAGAUAGAUGCAAUAGGCUCCAAUCGAUUUUCUGUCAUCCAGAUCCCCUGCCCAGUCUGCAUCUGUGAAUCCAGUUAGUUUCAGAUCACCAUCCUUAAUAAAUUUGAGUCCAUAGUUCUGUGUUGCCUUUAGAUAUCUGAGCACUCUUUUGCAAGCCAUAAGGUGCUGCAGUGUUGGUGCAGAAACGUAUUGACUCAGCUUGUGAACACUAAAGGCAAUUUCUGGUCUUGUUAAUACCAAAUAUUGCAUCCCACCAACAAUGCUUCUGUAAUGUGUUACAUCUUCAACAUAACAACUAAGAUUACCUUGAGCUUCCUUCUGUAGCUUCAUUCCUGUACUCAUAAGAGUAUCAAUAUCUUUGCAAUUUAUCAUCUCAACUCUUGACAGCAAAUCCCUUAUGUAUUUCCUUUGAGAUAAGAAAAUACAAUCUGUAUCAUACAGCACUUCAAUGCCUAAGAAAUAAGAAAGAACUCCAAGAUCCUUCAAAGCAAACUUUGUACUGAAUUCUGUAAUGAAAUUUUCUAGCUCAAAGCUAUUUGGUCCUGUUAUUAAGAUGUCAUCCACAUAAAUAAGAACUAGGAUCAUAGAUGACUUAUUUAUUUACAAGAAUAAGGAGGUAUCUGAGCUGGAAGUUGUAAAUCCCCACUGCAACAAACAGCCUUUCAACUUAUCAUACCAAGCUCUUGGAGCUUGUUUAAGUCCAUAAAGAGACUUGUGAAGCUUGCAUACAAAGUCUGGUUUCUCAGUGCUGAUGAAUCCCUCUGGUUGAUCCAUGAACACUUCCUCUGUUAAGUCUCCAUUGAGAAAGGCAUUAUUCACAUCAACUUGCCUUAUCUUCCACUGAUUCAUCAUAGCUAAACUCAAGACUACUCUUACAGUUGCUGGUUUUAUGACAGGACUAAAAGUUUCAAAACAAUUCACUCAUAUAAUUUGUUGAAAUCCUGGCUGUAAACCAUUUUGGGUUUUGCAUAGCCUCAUAUACAGAAUCAGGUUCUUUGUGAACAAGGGUUGCUGUAUAAAGCUUUGGUUUGAAGAUACCAGUUUUGCUUCUGGUAGUCAUUGGAUGUGUAUUAAGUUGGACUGGAAAGGAUAUAUCAGGUGUAGGUUGAGCUAAUAAGGAUAUGUCAGUGCAGGUUGAGGUGAUGAAUUUUGAGGCUCUAUAGAUGGUUCAAUGAAUGGGGUAUAUGUUUGUGAAUAUGAAUGCUGAUUGUCAGUAUGAGAUGAAUUAUCUGAAUGUUGUAAACUGCUGCUAGUAGAAAUUGCAGAUAGAAGAUUGCAUGAGCUGUUUCCAUCUGAUACUGGUGUUGUAGAUAAUGUGGUUAGAUGAUAUACUUGUUGGGGUGUAAGGGAUUGACUCGAAUAAGAUGAUGAUUCAUUAGAAUGAAAAACUGAGUCUGUAGAAUAAGGAAAUGUUGACUCAUCAAAAACAACAUGUCUGGCUAUGUACAUUUUGCCUGAUGAAUGCAAGCAUUUGUAACCUUUGUGAACUGGACUGUAGCCAAGGAAAAUGCAUUUGCUUGAGUGAUAAUCAAAUUUGUGUUUGUUGUAAUCCCUUAGAUAAAGAUAACAUGUGCAACCGAAACACUUGAGCAUGUUGUAAUCAGGUUUAAGUUUGAAAAUUGUCUCAUAGGGGGUAAGGAGUUUUAGAGCUGUUGAGGGUAAUCUGUUUAUAUGGUAAACAGCUGCAAGAAAGGCAUCCCACCAAAAUUUAAAUGGUAGCUUGGCUUGUGCUAACAGGGUUAGUCCUAGCUCAACAAUGUGUCUAUGUUUUCUUUCUACCACCUCAUUUUGGUGAUAUGUAUAAGGACAAGAAUGUCUGAAAAUGAUUCCACAUUGGUUUAAGAAUUAAGUAAAUGACCUGUAUUCUCCCCCCCAGUCAGAUUGCAGGUUUUUAAUGAUGGUGUCAAAUUGGUUUUCAACCUGCAAUUUGAAUAGUUUGAAUACAUCUAAUGCCUCAGAUUUCAACUUAAGAGGAUAAAUCCAAGUGUAUCGGCUAAAAUCAUCAACAAAGCUUAUGUAAUAGACAUAGCUAUCUCUAAAAGGUGUAGGUGAUGGUCCCCAUAGGUCUGUAUGUAUAAGCUCAAGGGGUUUUGUUGUUUUGGUUUCUGUGCUGGGAAAAUGCAGCCUAUGGGAUUUGCUCAUUUGACAUGCUUCACAGAUAUGCUCAAGUGUUUGUUUUAUGUUAUUUCUUGAGAGAUUAACUGAAGUAAUUCCUUUUAGCAAAUGCAUUAGAAUUUGAGAAUUAUGAUGGCCAAAACGUUUGUGAAGAAGAAGAAUUUUAUUAUUCAAUGCAUCACAAGAUGAAAUGUAACUGGAAAAUUUAUUUAUUGAUGCAUUACAAACUGUGAUACAACUGGAAUCAUUAUUCUGAGUGUUUUUAAGAACACUUGAAUCAAAAGAACAGGCAGAUAACAUUGACAAAGGUUGAGUGGAUGAAGAUUGACCCAAGUAAGAACAAGGAAGAGACUCAGAUGGUCUUAGAAGCAGCUUAUACAAUCCUUUCUCAGCAAGUCCUGUCAGAAGCACUUGCCUCUUCAGAGAAUCCUUCACAUAGCAAACAUUAUCAACAAAUUCAAUAGAGAGAUGGUUAUCUGCAGUUAAUUUUGAUAUGCUAAGCAGGUUCUUUGUGAUAUCAGGUACUAAUAACAUGUCUUUAAGUAGGAUAUGUGUUGGUUUAUGUGCAGCAUUUGAUCCUUUAUAAGUAAAACAUGCAUUACCAAUAUGAGUUAUAGGCAAACCUUGGCCAUUGCCGAUGACAAGUUGAUCAGAUCCUCUGAAUUCCUCUUUGACAUUCAUAUUAGCCAUAUUGUUAGUCAAGUGAUGUGUGGCACCACUGUCAAGGUACCACCCUUCAUCAGCAGGCCCUUCAUAGUUUCAUAUCUAUGCCAGCAUUCAUCUGCUGCAUGUCCUGUUUUGUGGCAUAUCUAACAUAUGGUUGCUAAUUCAUCAGCAUGCAUGUUAGCUGAAGGAUGAAAGUUUGUCUUCAUAGGUGGCCUAAAAGGUUGCAUUAUCUGGUCCCUGCCAUAACCCCCAACAUUACCAACACCAAGUGAAAAACCUCUGGGAUAUGGAUUGUGAAACAUGCCUCUUCCAACAUUAACUCCUCUAGUCAUAGGACGACCAUAAUUUCCAUUUCCAACAACACCUCUUCUAAAAUUUCCUCUCAUAUAAGGAUGAUUCACAUUCAUUGUGCUAUAGUUUGCAUUAAACACAGUUUUGGCACUUUGAUUUUGUUCAAGUCUAGCUUCAUGAGUCAGUAACAAUGCAUAAGCAUCAUCAUAGCUCAUCUUAUUUGCAAUGAUUAUGGAGGCUAGAUCUAGAUAUCCUGAACCUAAGCCAUUCAAAACUCUCAUUAACAAAUCCUUUUCAGUGAUUACAUCACCAGCACAAGCAAGUUUGUUGGCGAGUAAUUUCAUUUUAGCACAAUAUUCCUAAACAUUCAUUGAAUCUUUUCUUAAGAUGUUCAUUUCAUAUCUGAGUUGCAUAAUCUUAGCCUCAGAUUGAACUCCAAACUGUUUUUCAAUGGAUCUCCACAUAUCAAAUGAAGUGUCAUAGCUAAGAACAGAACUAAGAAUAGCUUCACUUAUAGUUGAGAGCAGCCAGCCAAGGAGUAUUUGAUCUUGUGCUCUCCAGUUGCUGUAGGCUGGAUUUUCAAUGCUCUCACCAGAUCCUUCGAUCGUUGAAUCAACUAGAUAUUGUUCUGGAAUAAUUUGCGGCUCUAGAAUCAAUCUUUCAAGGCGAUUUUCUCUGAUUGAAGUUACCACUUGUUUGCGCCAAAGUAAGAAAUUUGAUCGAUCAAGUUUCACAAUUGCAGCAAAAGUAAAUGAUGUUUGUGUAUGUUGAUUUGAGUUUAUGAUUGUUUGAUUUGAGAUUGUAUUGCUUGAGCUGGCCAUUUGUGGCUCUGAUACCAUGAAAGAAAACAGAGAUAUGCUGUUUGGUUGAAUAGAAAAUCACAGAGAAAAUUCUCAAUACUUGUAUUUGAUAAGAUUCAGUUUCUAAGUUCUUUUACAAAUCAGUACAAGUAUUUAUAUUAUUCCUUACGAGAAUUACUAGUAACUCACUAACUAACUAACUAACUAACUAACUAACUAACUUUUAUGAGCUGGAUCACUAACACUUACCUAAUCACGCUGAGCUGCUAUUCUUCACUAACAACCUUCUACUGACAUGGCUUCACCAAUCUGCUUGAAUAGUGAGCUACUUUGACAUAGGGGAAGCUCCACGAUUUACUAUAUUAGACAGAACUGAGCGAAAGCUUCCAUACGGCAGAUUUUGACAAUAAUGAUGCCAACAGAUCCUCAUUAAAUCCAUUAAAACUCCUAAGGUUCAUUGUUCAUGGAUGUUUACAGAGUUUUGGUCAUCAAAUAGCUCAGACCACAAUCCCAAACAAAAAACGGGUGAAAAUUAGAUCACCAGCAGCUAAUUGUAAAUUCAAACUUAACUCUUCAUAUCCUUUGUAAACAGGAAACAAAAUGGAGACACGCAAAAUGAAUAAGGAGAACAUUUGAGCUCAAAUGAAAUGAGGGUACGAAAGCAAACAAAUGGCAUGCACAAACAACCAAGCCUCAAUCAAAAACUAAUUAACCAUUAAAAAAAAAAAAUGGUCAGAGAAUGAACUCCAAAUUCGGGAGUGAAGCAAGAAGCUUUCAUUAUUUCAGAAGCUCGUGUACAAAUUAAUAAGUUAUGCUCUUUGGAAACAAACCUAAAUUCCAAGAGAAACAGAACUAAAAAAAUUUGCAAUUAUACGCAAAGGAAGUGAAGCACAGCAUUCUAUCACACGUACGAAUUGUAUAACAAGAGAUCGACACAUCGAAUCAGAAGAACUCAAUUCAAAUUUGUCUCAAAAAUCAAAAUUAGAAGAUUUCACAUUUCGAGAGGAACAAGCGACAGGUCAGAAUUAACGGUUUAUUUCCAUGGAUUUAGAGAGCUAACUGACCUUUUGGCUUUUGGAAUUGAGAAGAUCGCGCGCCAAAAUGGAAGAGGGAAAGCGAAAGUGCGGGUUUUAAUAGGGUAUUGGAUUAGCAAAUUUUAUUAGUUUGCGGGGGUAAAAUAGGAAAGAGAUAUCACUAUUAACCUUUUUUUAUAAGAAAAAAGAAUAAUAAAGAAUAUUUUAUUGUCAUUUGCAGCCUUUAUUUUUUUUUAAAUGCUAUUAGAAAAAUAUGACAACAAAGAAAUGCUCCUUUUUUUUUAUUUUUCUCUCAAAGAUAAAAUCAAUUAUUUAGCUCCUUAUAUGUAAUUAAACUCCAUUUCUUACUCUAAGUCAUAUCCAAUGGACCAACAAAGUAAUUGGUUUUUUGUCAUUCAUUUUUACAGAAAAUUAAUAACUUAAAAAUAUUGAAAGCUAUUGUAAAAUUUUUUAUUAUCAACCUCAUAGUUUAAUUUUUUUGGGGAAGAAUUGAAACCUCAUAAUUUAAUUUUUUUGGGGAAGAAUUGAAAUUUUUUUUUUAAUUUCCAAGAAUUUCAUUCUCUAGUUUUUCCAUUAAUAUUACUUAUCUUGAUACCCAUCUUAAUUAAAAUCUGUAGUUUUAUUCAAGAGUCAUGCUAUUCAUUCACUCACAGACAAAAGGCUUUCCGCAGCAAUAUUAUUAUUUAAAUUACAACAAAGGGGAAAUCAAAUACGUCAUACAGAAGCAUAAAGCUGAAUCUACAAAAUCUAGAGCUCUCAACUACAUAAAUUACACUUGAUGAUCCUCUACAAGAUGAAGCUUGUUCAAUAUCUCAUCCAAAGCUUGUAAAGUAACCCUGUAACGAUCUUGAGAUUGCCGGCCUUCCUCGACGACCUGCACGAUGCGUUUGUACAAAUCAUCAUACCUGUGCACCGGAUUUUUAAUAUCAAUGGCACUGCAGCUGUGAUCAAGAACAUAAGAGCGUUUAACGUCUUUUCUCCAUCGAGAAAGAAUGUACUGAGAUGGGAUCUCCUCCAUGCCACUCUCGUUUAAAACACAAAGAAUGUGUCUGCAUAAAUAUCCUCUGAAAUUGAACAACCCACAAACACAAAGCACCUCCAAGUCAGAGGCAUUGUACAAAACAUCGAAAGCCCUUGAAUCUUUCUCGUUGCUACCAACCUCAAAUUCUUCUUUCACUAUGUAUGUUAUAGGUCCAUCAGCACUGACAUGUUUUGUGCUAUAGCAAGAGUACAUAGCCUCCACCUCCGUCUGAAACUUCCUUAACAUUUCAUUUGUGUACAGUUUUGAGAGUUGAAAUUCAUAGUAACAUCUUGGUUUCUGGAUACAACUUGAAUUUCUUGAAUCCAUAUCUGCCAAGGCUUCCAGUUGAUAAUUCGCCUGCAGUGCUUGAUCAUACUUGUCUAAGAAUUCUUUCAAAGGAGUAUUCUUAUCAAGAUAUCCUUCAAAGUAUGAAGUAGAAACCUCAUUCUGCAGGAACGAAAACACUCCUGAUAAAAAAGCUUCCUUCAAAUAAAUAGGAGCCCACCUUUUACGAUCUUCAUAUAAAGUUUGAAUCCAUCCGUGAUCCUUUAUUCCAUGACGUUGAAUCAUGUCUUCCCAAGCUGCUUCAAAUUUCUCACGUCAGAGAGAGUGAUAAAUUGCUCUAUGUAAUGCAGCUUUAAUAGCUUCAUAUUCAAACAAUCCUUGGAGUUUCUCUGGAAUUUUUUGCAUGAUGCAUGACAAUGAAAAGCAAUGAUAAGCUCUUGGGAAAACAUCGCCAACAGCAAUUUGCAAGAUUCUACAUUGGUCAGUGAUGAUUGUUUGUGGAGAGCGCCCUAACAUACAUGUAAGCCACGCCCUAAACAACCAUGUCUAUGAUUCUAUGGUAUCACUGGCAAGUAAACCACAACCCAACAACACUGAUUGUCCAUGAUGAUUCACCCCAAUGAAUGAAACCAGUGGUACAUCAUAUCUUUCAGUCAAGCACGUAGUAUCAAUUAAGACUGCAUCACCAAAGUACCUAUAUGCAACUCUUGACCUGGUAUCAGUCCAGAACAGGUUUCUCAAGCAUCCCUUUUCAUUUAGUCCACUACAUUAAAAAAGUUUGGAUCUGUCAACUGCAAACGACAAAAGAAACUCUGGAUAGCUUGUGCAUCUCCUGGUUUAAGCUUCAAUUGAUUUGAGCUAUUAACAUUAUUUCCAAAUACUCCAUUAACAUCUACAUUACCAUUUCCCUCGGUAUCAAUGAUAAGAGUUCGAAACAGUUUAAUUUUUUGAACUUCUUCAGCACUAUCUAAAUGCAAUGUUCUUUUGGUUCCAAUACCUAUGUGCUUAUGUGACUUGUAAAACUUUUCACUUCUUGGGCUUAACAAGUGGUUAUGCUCAAGCUCGACUUCAAUGAUUCUCCACCUUUUGGUUUCCAUCAACCUAAACUUUAUCAUUGCUGGACAGCCAGUUCUUGUUUCUGGUCUUGGGCGGUUUGCCUCGGUUUUCUUCUUGAAGCCUGCACUACUACAGCUCAGCUUUCCUCUAUACUUUACUCUUUUGGUACCAUGUAUUGCUAACUCUAACACCAAAACCAUGUUCCUUGGCAUAGCAAUUGUAAAAGUAAAAUACAUCAUCAUACAUCUCAAACUCCAUUCCAACAGCAGGAGGCAAGGGAUUUUGGAUUACCCCAGUUUGUCCAACAUAUUCAGUCAUCGCACAAUCUCCUACGACCUCAAAAUCAUCAGUGUCAUCAUCACCUACUGGUUCGGUGUUGAGAGAAACUUCAUCCAUCUACAAUGGAUGUUCAAUGAAGUGAGCUUUAAGGAGAAAAAGCAAAAUCAGUUCAAGGAAUGAUAAUAUAAUCAUACAGUUACUUUCACAAAGCUUCAUAUUUCAUCACUGCUUUACCAACAUGCAACUGCCAGAGAACAAACAGACAUGUCAUAGACGCUUGAAUUAAGUAUUUGUACAAAUGAGCACACAUCAUGUGGGACAAAAUUUCAGUCACUAAACCCAAUACCACUUUUUACAUCAUACCAAGGAACAGAUUAAACCCGACACCUUCUUUUAAACCAUACCAAGGAACAGAUUAAAUCAUCAAUGAAAAAUUAAUCACAUAAUAACUUAACCAGACAAAUGAAGAGCCUGAAACAGCACAAAACUUGAAUAUGAUUAUGAUAAUUGUUGAGUCCUUGCAUCUACAGCUUUCCUUCAAUGAUAAGACAAUGAACAUAAACGAGAUGCAAAAAAUUUAUUUUAAGCUGACAGCCCAUGAUAUAAAUCAAACAAAAUCAACUCCUUUUUUUACACAUCACAUCUCAUAUUCAUUUACAUUGAAACACAAAAAGGAAGCAGGAGUGGGAAAAAAACAACAGCAGUGGAACUUAUUUCCAUAAGGUUUACGAAAUAAGGAAUCUAUUAAAACCCAAAACUUGAGGUCACCACUAAGAAUUUGGUUCUCAUUAUUUUUUUCUUCAUUUUUCACCAAUGAUGAACUUAAAAUACAAUCAUAAAUGAUAAAACCCCAUCUCCAUCUUUUUGAACUAGAGCUAAAGCAAAGCAUUUUAAGAUGUUUCAUCAUUUUUUUUUAAAAAAAAAACCUCAAUAGUACAAUGUUUUUCAAUGUUAAAUGCACAAUUCAAUCUUCUCCUAAUUUACUCUAAUAAUCUCUUAAUUAAGGAAGAUUAAGCUUCAGUUGUAAGCUAAAACAAGUUUCUUAAAUCAAGCCCCAAUGCUUUAUGCUAUUCAACAAGGGCUCAUAAAUGAUAAAACUACUUCUACAAAGAUACCCAUUUUCUAAAUUAAUUUCACAAACUGAAAUCAAACUCCUGAAACGUAACGAGCAUUAAUAUAAUCAAACCCGAACAAGAAUUGAAAAACGACACAUAAACUCGUUUACACAUUUUGACAGACACUUUGCAAUCAAUGAGCAAAAAAUUAAUGGAGAAGAUAAAAUUCAAACGAAACAUGCCUUACAUUGAUAAAUUAGAAGGGCAAAAGAAAUUUAAGUAAGAUAUGGGAUCAGGGUCUUGCCACGGUGAUGUUAUUUGUGAUGUUCGAGCGACUCAGCAGCCUUCGAGGUUGAAAAUUUGAUUGACCAAAAGCUUCCCGUUCGUUGAUUCUCUAAUAGCAGAAACGAGACUGGCAGUAUACACAACAAGUUCGCUGAUUUUAAAUUCCGUUGUUUGAGAUGGAAAUUUUUUUUGAAAAAAUUAAUGUGUUCGAUGAAUAUCAAAAUCUCAAAAACUUUUUGUUUUUCAUUUUUUUGGAAAAAGCCAUUGAGAUCCUUACUAUUUUUUCUUAUAUAAUCUUGCUUAAUAAUUUGCAAAGUCUAUCGCAUAGCACCCAUGCAUGAUGUAUGCUGCGUUGUAAUUUACAAAAUUGCACAUGAAUAAAUCCAGCUAAAAUUUGUUAAAAGAAAAUAAUAAUAACAUGUUAAAACUUAAAAAUUUGAUUAUUCGAAGAAAUUUUAAUUAUUUAAGUAGGUGACAUGAUAAUAAAUAGAUACAUAUAAUGUCCGAGAUUUUUUAUAAGGUUAAUAAAUAUGAUAAAUUUGGAUUAGUUCAAUUUUGACAUAAUUCAUAAUAAACACAGCUUGCUAAUCUAAAUUGCCACCGUUACUCAUCAUCAGGUACCUGUUUGAAAAAUAAUUACAAACAAUUUUAUUUGUGUUGUUUCUCUAAAAGUUUGAGACACAAAUGUUAUUUCAAAUUGAUAAAAGUACGAAAAUUCCCCCUUGCUCUUCAACUAAAAAUUAAACAUGCAAAUAUACACACUAAUUUAGAUGUGUGAAUAACAAAUAUGGAACGACACUUGCAAAGUCAUCUGUUCAUUUAUUUUUAUUUAUGAUUUUUUUGUAAAAUGUAAGAAAUAUUAAGAAAUGUUGCCAGCAAUGAUUUUGGAACUUUGCAUAAAAUUUUUAUCAUUAUUGUUUUUGGUAUUAAGAAAUCCGAGGCGGUGAUUAGACGUAUGUUGCAACAAUUAAGAAAUUUCUUAUUGGAGAUAAUUUGGUAGGUUGCAGCAAUUAGAGAAUAAUUUUCCUGUUAGUUAAUCAAUCAAUAAUAAAUUUCAAAUUGCAGAAAAUAAAAUAAUACUGUCGCACUUAGAAUCAUCUUUUCUAUCUCUUUCAAUUGUGACAAUCAUUUGUAACAAAUAAAUCAAUUCAAAGUUCAAGUCACUGCUCAAUUGCAGAGUAGUUAGUAGACAUGCAUGCAUGUUUAAUUAAGUACUGCAUUGUAGUAUCGAAAAUCAUAACAUCUCACCAAGCCCGGAAGCAUAGCUCUUUAUCUUGUAAAUGUUGAAAUCUUAUGCAACCUAUGGGAAACAUGAUCUCACUCUCAGUGUCACUUGAUUCCAUUUUCUGUUCUUGCCUUGAUUUCAUUGUUGGGAAUGUGACGUCUGAGUCUAAGGUUGAAGAUAAUCUCGAUGCCUUGCGGACUGCAUUCACCAAGCCCGGAAGCAUAGCUCUUUAUCUUGUAAAUGUUGAAAUCUUAUGCAAACUAUGGGAAACAUGAUCUCACUCUCAGUGCCUUGAUUUCUUUGUUGGAAAUGUGACGUCUAUUGGAAAAUAUUUACUCAAAUCAACAACAAGUUCCUUGAUAUGUCAAGCCCCGAAAAUUUAUUAAACGACGCCGUUUCGACAGUAACAAUUCUAUUCUUUUACCUUUGCCUGUCUCUUUCAUCUGCUGUUUCUCUAUCACUUUUCAUUUUUGAUUUCCUUGCUUCCCAGCUGCCCCUAAAUUGUUAUUCUAGCAAUAUACUUUCUCAUCUUUGAAUUUUCAUCCUUGAGUACUCCCACAGCCGUAAUUUCAUCAUUAUAGACUUCACUUGGAAUGCUAGAUUUUUUCGAUUCUUGAGCUACUUCAAUUACAUCUUAGUAUAGGAUCCUCAUCUUCCUUUAUUUCUUCAUCUUAUGAGGUAACAAAUGGAUUUCACAACUCAUCUACUUUUAAGCAAUUACAUAUUAUACCCUGAAUGAUUCAACUGUUCCGACAGUUAAAGAUUUUAUGCUCAACCUGCAGUGCUACGAACAUUGUCCAUGAAAGAUGAGUUUCAGCAUAUAAAAUGAAAUAUAGAUGUUUAAUCUAAAAUUACCCUUCACUGCCAGAAACCUAGAUCACAAAAUUCACAAAUAAUGAUAAAGAGCUAAAAAUUUUGAAAAACUCUACGGAUCACACAUCAAGCAAGAUAUCAUGUUUUUUUCCCUCAUUCGGUGGUGAUUGAUUCGCUUUUUGAUGAUGGAUAUGGUAUAAAAGUGUUGACCCAAUUUCAAGCAAACACAAUCGGGACUAGAGUUGUGGGCGAUUAUCUUCCAAGAUUUACAACCCCAGAAGUUUCGGGAAAAGAUUGGGAAAAAGAAAGGCUUGUUCGAUGAGUCAUGGAAGAACUGAAGUUUUGAAGAGAAAGCACUCGACAUAUUCAAGAAUUUAAGCGAGAUGAAGUUUGUAUUACUGCUGGAUGAUUUAUGGGAGCAGGUUGAUUUAAUUAAAGUUGGUGUCCCUCUUCCAAGCACAAAAAUUACAUUCAAGAUAGUCUUCACAACUCGUUCUAUUGACAUAUGUGGCCUCAUGGAAGCUCACAACAAGAUUAAAGUGGAGUCUCAUGGAAGAGAUGGGAUUAUAUCAAGAUGAUCAAAGCAUGUUAAAAAAGAAAAAAGAAAAAAAGGUUUAUUGGAAGAAGAGGCUCCACUGUUUGUAAAAGUGCAUGAGGUGAUACGCGAUAUGCUUCUGUGGAUAGCAUGUGAUGUUUUUUUUUUUUUAGGGGGAUAGCAUGUGAAGUUGAGAAGGAGAAAGAGAAUUUUUUGGUUCGUGCAGGUGCAAGGAUUAACUGAAGUACCAGACAUUUGGAAAUGGUAAGGGUUGAGAAGGGUGUCUUUGAUGAGCAACAAACCUGAGAAGUUAUCAGAAAUUCCUUCAUCUCCCGAUCUGAAAUUUAAAUCUCGGAGAAAAUAAAUAAUCAUGCAGAUUUUUAAGAUUUUAAUAAGGGAUACUAAUAUCUUAUUUUGAUUAAUAAUAUCCUUUCAUUGUGUUAACUCAAAAAAAAAAUAUUCACAAGUUGGUGGCCCCUACAAUUCUGUUCGCAAGUGCUCAUUCACAAUCUUCCAGGUCAUGCUCUUAAUAAUUUACAUGAUCAAUUCUCUAAAUAUUUAGGGUAUAUGUGAACAUCGGUGGAGAAGCUUUAUUUAAUAUUAUUGAUUUAAAUACUAUGUCAAUUAAAAAUGUGCGGAAAAGAAUUUCGGUGGGAAUCUAUGCAUUCCCUUAGAGCUUUGAACUUAUCAUGUAAUCAUUCUCUAACUGAUAACUUAUCAUGUAAUCUUCUCACGUUUUAUGUCAUCAAUUCCUUUUCUUUUCUGUGGCUAGGCAACACUUUUUGGCCAAAGUAAGGAAAUCUGUACAGCAGUUUUCAACAAUUAUCAUGAUCAGAUCAGCCUUUAGCCUUGAAACGUCGGUCAGAAAAGUUUUAAAAUUAAUGCUAACAAGAAAAAGCUAGGUCAUAUUCCACAAAAGUAAAAGUGACAAAACAACCAGCUGGUUUCUUUUACUAAACUACAAAUUAAAAGUGGAUUCUUUUGAAUACAAGUGGGACAGACGAUUAGGCUCUUUUUAUUAAACGCAAGUAAAAAGUAGUCGAAUAGUCUUUUUCAAAUUAUUGUUUUAUUAUUUUUCCUUCAAAAGUUAGUGUGGCUCAUGUUUGCAGGUGCGCAAUCAAUAGAAUUGCACCUACAAAAGUAAAACACAAGUAAAUCACUAUUAUUAAGUGCAAAACAUUGAUAUUAAGGGAAGUAAAUAAUGCAAAACUAGUGCAUAAAUUGCACUCUAACAAUAUUGUACCAUAGUGGAGAAUUUGGAUAUUCUUAUUUAAGUAACAAGGAGAUUAUUUGCCUCAUCUUUAAACAAUGAAUCUUUGAGAGAUGAGGAGUGGGUGAUUGGCUGUGUCUUCAUGUAAUUGUUCAUUUAUUUGUAUUUUGAACUGUUAUGAAAAUCUUUAUAUGCCAAAUUAGUAAUACAAGUAUUCAGAUGAUUUUUCCUAUUGAUCAUGCAUUUGUAUCUGCACACAACCAUUGUAUAUCACUUUAUUCUGAUGCGCAAGUAUCUGUAAUUAAGAAGAAAAGAAAUAAUAAUCAUAUUUUAUUGCUUGGUUCAUGAUUAUUAACGAUUAUGGCUUUAAAAAUCUACAAAUUUCUUGUGUUCAUGUAUGAAUGUGCCAAGUUUGCUGUAUCUUAGAUUACCUUCUUCCAAGAUAACAAGUUCAUAUAUAUAUAUUUUUAAAAUCCUUUUCCAUUACAGUUGAAUUUCAAGUGUUAGUUUUGUUAUUAGUACCUGGUUGCCUGUUAUUAUGAUCUAAUAAACAGUGUACGGAUAUGUGCUCUACUUUUGGAGGGUCUCCACGUGAAAGAAAAUUGCAACAAUUGAAUUCUUCCGGGGGGUAUGGUAAUUAAUUUAUUUUCUCAACUUGUUGUAAGACUAAUAUAUUUCCUUCAGUAGGCACGGCAUGGUGGGAAAGGUUUUUAUUGAAAGAAUUCUGAUAUUUCUUAGACUUUGUUUUGGAAGGGGGUGGAGGGAUUUCUCAUCCAUAUAUGGUUACUUUGGGCGUUCCACUUCCCGGACCAAAAAAUACUACCUCAAAAGUCGUAUUCACAACCCGUUUCAUCGAUGUUUGUGGUAGCAUGGAAGUUGACAGGAAGUUUCAAGUAGCAUGCUUAUCAGAAAAGGAUGCUUGGGAACUGUUUCGAGAAAAAGUUGGGGAAGAAACUCUUCAGAGUGAUCAUGAUAUCGAUGAGCUAGCCCAAAUUGUGGUCAAGAAGAUUUUAUAUCCUGAAGAUUUUGGCAUUCUUAAAUGGGACUUGAUUGAUUGUUGGUUUGGCGAGGGAUUUUUUGGGGAAUCUGAAGGGUUUGGUGCAGAAAACCAAGGAUAUGACAUUUUGGACACUCUUGUUCGUGCAUGUUUAUUAGAAGAGGUGGAAGAUGAUGAAGUAAAAAUGCAUGACGUUAUUAUUGUGGUGCACUUGCAGCAAGAUAACCAGACCGGUAUGUGCUCUUAUAUUAACUAUAUUGACUGGAUUUGUUAGUGUGCGCAUUUUUUUGUGUAUACUCACUUUUGUAUUUAUGCAUAUUAACAUGUGUAGGAUUCUUGAUUUCUGCCACUUACUGGAGAACUAGUGGAAAGCUUUAUACUGAUAUAUCUGCAAUAACUAAUGGAAACUAUGAUAUGAAUAUUUUCUCUCACCUGGGGAGCUGUGUAACAGAUAUACUUUGUGGCUCUGGAAUGCUGAAGAUUCUGCAAUAACUAAUGGAAAAUAUGAUAUGAAUAUUCUGUCUCACCUGGAGAACUUUGUUACAGAUACCCUUUGUGGCUCUGGAAUGUCUAAAGAAUGCUUCAGUUAGAUCAAAUAUCUUUUAGUUAGAAGAGAUAAAAUUCUCUGAGUCUGAAAGACUGAAACAUUUUGCAUAUUUUGUGAAAGGGAAAUAUCUGUUGAUACUAGCUCAUGCAUUGAGGUAAUAUCGAUGUUAAAGAAAAACAGCAAUGAUUUAUGAUAUAGAAUUGGGUUCACUUGCUUUAAAUGCUGGUCUGAUCAACCAUAUCAACCUGUAAUGAUUCUGCAGAAAUAUAUAUACGAGGAGAAAGUAGCUAAAUUUUUCUUUCAUUUAUGGGUUCGGUCUUUUUUCCCCUUAUUUUUCAGCUUGCCUUCUCCUGAAGUAUGUUAACAAUUGCAGAUAAUGAUGAAGAGGACAGCUUCCAGGCUCUCCUUAGAGCCGUGAUGGAAUAUAGGGGCACAAUGAAGGAAUAUUGUAAAGCUGUAGGUACUUUUUCUCCUGUCAUUUAUGUUUUCUUACACAUUUUGUAUAUGCCCUGAACAUGCACCUUUGUAUGUAUCAAUUGACUUUUAAAUUUUAAAAGCCAUAAAGUAAGAAUACGGUUCCUUGUCAGGCUACUGAUGCAUUCGCUCAGGGGGGUCAUGUUCGAGCAGGAAAAUUUCUAGAACAGGUAAGGUUUCCAUCUACAGCCAUCCAUUGACAGCAGAUACAUUUUCAUUCAGCAGACUCUGUUAGCAUUCAAGAUGCUGGCAGAUUCACUUGAUUCUUAUUAGCUUGUUUAGUGGCAAAGCCUAUAACCUGUAUUUCAAAGCCAAGUUGUGCUAUUGAUUAUGUUAACUUUUUUGUUAACAUAAAAUGAUAUGGAGGAAAUAAUCAGUGUUGGAAAAUUAGGUGAAAAGAUGAUGUCAAAUCUUGAACCUCUUACGAAACUCUAAGUUCUUUACUUGAAGAGGCUACCAAAUUUGAACAGCGUCUACUCGAAGGCCUUGCCAUUCCCUGAUGCAUGCAGAAUUUUUGUAUUUAAAUGCCCAGAGCUUAAGAAGCUGCCACUGGAUCUUGAAGGGGCAGACCAAGGUAAAAUUCUUAUCAAGGGAAAGGAAGAUUGGUGGAAACAACUUAAUGGGAGGAUCAAGUAAUUCAGAAUGCAUUGCUUCCAUUUUUUAAAUCGACUGACAAGUGAUUGAACGGGGCAUCAUCAACAUCAUCAACAGGGAUGGAGAGAUGACGGAGCAGAUCAGCAGGGUUUGAAUAUGACCUUUGGCGGUUGCCUUUUUUUUUUGUGAUUUUUUUUCAUUUUUUCCUUCCUGUCAUUUUAUCAUUUCUUUGGCUCUGUUUCUAUUGCGGGUGUUACUGCAUGCUUACUGUUGCUUGACAAAGUUUGCUAGCUUUUUGUUUGCAGUGCUGCUAUACACUCCGAGUCAAGCCCCGAAAAUUUAUUAAACGACGCCGUUUCGACAGUAACAAUUCUAUUCUUUUACCUUUGCCUGUCUCUUUCAUCUGCUGUUUCUCUAUCACUUUUCAUUUUUGAUUUCCUUGCUUCCCAGCUGCCCCUAAAUUGUUAUUCUAGCAAUAUACUUUCUCAUCUUUGAAUUUUCAUCCUUGAGUACUCCCACAGCCGUAAUUUCAUCAUUAUAGACUUCACUUGGAAUGCUGUAUUUUUUCGAUUCCUGAGCUACUUCAAUUACAUCUUAGUAUAGGAUCCUCAUCUUCCUUUAUUUCUUCAUCUUAUGAGGUAACAAAUGGAUUUCACAACUCAUCUACUUUUAAGCAAUUACAUAUUAUACCUCGAAUGAUUCAACUGUUCCGACAGUUAAAGAUUUUAUGCUCAACCUGCAGUGCUACGAACAUUGUCCAUGAAAGAUGAGUUUCAGCAUAUAAAAUGAAAUAUAGAUGUUUAAUCUAAAAUAACCCUUCACUGCCAGAAACCUAGGUCACAAAAUUCACAGAUAAUGAUAAAGAGCUAAAAAAUUUGAAAAACUCUACAGAUCACACAUCAAGCAAGAUAUCAUGUUUGUUUUCCCUCGUUCGGUGGUGAUUGAUUCGUUUUUUGAUGAUGGAUAUGGUAUAAAAGUUUUGACCCAAUUUCAAGCAAACACAAAUAGAAACGCACAAACACAAACACAAUCGGGACUAGAGUUGUGGGCGAUUAUCUCAGGUGUACAAGUGAAACGGUGGUGGCUGUCGAUGGUGGUAGUGGGGUGGUUGGGUAUGCGUGAUGGCUAGAUUUUAGGACAAUAAUGGUUGGAGUUGACCUCAAUCAACGAAGGAAAGUGACAACAAUUUUGACAUCAAACGGUGCAUUUUUUAAGAAGGCUGGACGGAGUGCAAGUGUGGGUUUCGAGGGUGGAUUCUGUUAAAACUGAAGCUGAUCAAUUUAUAAGAGACGGCUCUCGAGAAAUUGAAAAAUUAUGUGUUGGAGGCUACUGUUCCAAGAACUGCAGGUCAAGCUACAAUUUCGGAAAACAAGUGGCUAAAAAGCUACGAGAUGUGGAGACUUUAAUCGCCGAAGGAGUUUUUGAGGCGGUGGCUACCGAGGUGGUGGCUGACAGAGCUCCAGAGUCUGUAGCAGAUGAAAGACCUACUGAGCGAACAGUAGUAGGCUUGCAAUCACAACUUGAACAAGUCUGGAGAUGUCUUGUAGAAGAAUCAGCGGGAAUCAUUGGCCUAUAUGGUAUGGGCGGUGUUGGUAAAACUACACUACUGACCCAUAUCAACAAUAAAUUUCUCGAGAGUCCAACCAACUUUGAUUGUGUGAUUUGGGUUGUAGUUUCAAAAGACCUGCGACUCGAAAAAAUUCAAGAAGAUAUUGGGAAAAAGAUAGGUUUGGUUGGUGAUUCAUGGAAGAGUAAAAGUGUAGAGGAGAAAGCUGUCGACAUCUUCCGGAGUUUAAGAGAGAGAAGAUUUGUAUUGUUGUUAGAUGAUAUAUGGGAGCGGGUUGAUUUAACAAAGGUGGGCGUUCCACUUCCCGGACCAAAAAAUACUACCUCAAAAGUCGUAUUCACAACCCGUUUCAUCGAUGUUUGUGGUAGCAUGGAAGUUGACAGGAAGUUUCAAGUAGCAUGCUUAUCAGAAAAGGAUGCUUGGGAACUGUUUCGAGAAAAAGUUGGGGAAGAAACUCUUCAGAGUCAUCAUGAUAUCGUUGAGCUAGCCCAAAUUGUGGUCAAAGAGUGUGGUGGUUUGCCACUCGCACUUAUUACUAUUGGUCGAGCUAUGGCCUACAGAAAGAAAGCGGAGCAGUGGAGACGUGCAAUUGAAGAGUUAAGGAGAUCAGCUUCAGAGUUUGCAGGUUUGGGAAAAGAGGUGUAUCCUCUUUUAAAAUUCAGCUAUGAUAGUUUGCAGAAUGAUACGGUUAGAUCUUGUUUCUUGUACUGUUGUUUAUAUCCUGAAGAUUGGAAUCUCACAGCUUUGGUGCAGAAAACCAAGGAUACUACAUUGUGGGCACUCUUGUUCGUGCAUGUUUAUUAGAAGAGUUAGAAGAUGAUCAUGUAAAAAUGCAUGACGUUAUUCGUGAUAUGGCUCGAUGGAUAGCUUGUGAAAUUGAGAAGGAGAAGAGAAACUUUUUGGUUCGUGCAGGUGCUGGAUUAAAAGAGGCACCGGGCGUUAAAGGAUGGGAAAAUGUGAGAAGAUUGUCAUUGAUGCAAAACCAAAUUGAAACUCUGUCAGAGGUUCCCACAUGCCCUCAUCUUCUCACUUUAUUUCUUGACUUUAAUAGGGAGUUGAAGACUAUCGCGGAUGGCUUCUUCCGAUGUAUGCCUUCUCUCAAAGUUUUGAAGAUGUCACGCUGUGGGCAAUUCGAAGGUUUUCAGUUACCUAUUGGGAUGUCAGAGUUGGGUUCGUCACUAGAACUUCUUGAUAUUUCAUAUGCCAGCAUAACAGAGUUACCAGAAGAGUUAAAGUUG